AACCAGCAUUUUGCAAGGUGGCCGCUUUGGAGUUAUCAGCUGGGGUAACAUCGGGGCUAUCAGCAACAGUGGUAGCCUUCUUAUUCUUCGACUUUGCCGGUGCCGGUGCGGGAGCUGGAGGCCUAGGUGCAAAUAUUUGCAAUGGUUGAAGAACUUGAUCGAUUUGAUAAACAGCAAGCUGACCAUCAGUGUAAAUAGUGCCGGAAACACUGGUGUUUGUCAACCCUGUUGUUAUAUUCACAGAGUUCCCCGAAGUGGUGACAUUGAGAGGGAACUUGCCAUCGCCACUAUCACCAGCUUGGGUUCUCAAAGGGUUGCUAAUGGUUUGGAACUGAGACGAGGUGAGGUAUGUUGGGACGAUGUGGAAUUGCACCAGCUGCACUUUUUGUUCAUCGGUGAGUGAAUUCAAUGUGCCCGAUUUAAGGCUGGAGAAAGCAUUGUCCGUUGGUGCAAAAACGGUCAUACCAUUGUUGGAAUUGUUGAGCUGACCGAGCAGCUGGUUGGCCACUUGAGUGGACUUUAGAAGACGAAUGAAGAGGGUGAAUUGACCAGCUUUUUCGAGGAUCUUGGUGACGUUUGUCGGACCAGAAGGUGCCGGGGCCAGUGCCGGAGAUUGGGCUAAUGUUGUUGAACAACUGAGGGAAAACAGGAUGAGCAACGUGAGAGUAGUGAAGACAUAUUGUUGCCUCAUUGUGGGUUGUAUUGGAAGGUGACGUUAUGGCAACUAAAACAAAGUAAAAUGGAAGGGAAGAAGUGGUCCUUGAACAAAAAUGUUAUGGAUGUUUUGAUUGGAUAAGAAAUGGGAGCUUUUUAUUUAGGAUAUUGGAGGGUGAAGUUAGGUAAAAUAUGCUACUUUAGUUAACUAGAAGACAUACUUAUCAACUUUAGCAAACUCUGUUGGGAUGUUUAUUUGAAAGGAAAGAAAUUGAUGAGCAACUACAUUGCUUGGAAAAGCAGGGAAAACAGAGUAGAUUUUGGAGUGGAUAUGUGACCAAAUAGACAUACAUAUGGGGAGGCUCGUUUCUUCAAUUAUUUCCCGUAUUCCUCGAAUGGAUCUCUUAAUUGUUGAGAGAGUUACCCAAAAGCAGUAUAUAAGGCGUACCUAGUAAAACUUACAAGUAAAUCAGAUAUAGAGAUUGCAACUAAGGUUUUUGUUUCCAUUAUUAUAUAAUUUCAUGAUCACAAUGGGUCUAUGAUAAGAUUGUUUAUUUAUAGUGAAAUGAUAUACAAAGUUAACAAAUCUCAAUGAAUACAAAAUAAGAUUUAUGGCUACACAAAACGUUAACAGUAGUUCUAGAUCUAGUCCAAGACGAAUUGUUGUAGGAGAUUUUUUGAAACCAUUGAAUUCGGAAUAUGGUAAGGUAGCCCCUGGAUGGGAAAAGACUCCUUUAAUGGGUGUCACAAUGGCUUUAUUUGCGACAUUUUUAUCUAUCAUUUUAGAGAUUUAUAAUUCUUCUGUUUUACUUGAUGAAAUUUCAAUGAAUUAAAUUUAUAAGAAUCACAAAGCCUCGUUUUUCAAUAUAAAAAGUGAAACUUUUAGUUUUCGAAAUAUUUUAGCCCGAUUCUAUUUCGGUAAUGAUUGAGUAAUAAAAAUUUCGAUGGUUUUUAAAUAAGAUAUCGGAUUCAAAUAUUAUAAAAAAAUAAUAUUAAAAAAAUUACUUCCUAUUUAGACAUUCAACUUCGCUUUUUAAAAAAAAAUAUAUAAUCGAGAUAUAAUAUAACCAUCCAACACCAUUAAAAAGAAUUAAUGAUUGCCUCGGUUUGUGAUUGCGAAUGCUUGGCUAACUUAGGAAAUAAGUUUCCGUAGCGAUGGCGGUUAAAUUGGGCCCUAUUUCCAGCUAAUGCCAACGAGGCUGAUGGCUCCCUGUGGGUGGGGCUUUAAUUUCCAUGAGCAGAUCGAUCCAAGCUGAUGAUCCCUGCUUCCUUCUUCUUUAACCCUCUUUUCUUUUCUUGGAUUCAUUAGAUUCAACAAAGGCAAAAACACUUUUUUUCUUCUGUCCCAUGUUAUUAACGGUAAGGCAAUUAUUGUCCAUUUAUUUAAAAGCUAUUAUUAUGUUACUACAUUCUACAGAAUAUGUACAACCAAAAUAUGAAAAUUGAUUUUUCAACUGUAUCACAGGUGAAAUUAUAAUAACUUUAAUCUUGAAAAACCUAAACACCUCCCUGCUUCACCUUCUAUAACAAAAAUCUAAAAUUUUCUUAAUGGGUUAAAUGGGAAAUUAUCUUAGAGUUCUAAAUUCGACCAAAAUAAAAUUUAUUUCUAUAAAUUAUAUUAAAUUUAAUUUAAAGAACAAUGUUAAUUUCAUUAGAUAUCCUCAAACUAUGACUCUCAUUUUAAAUUGACCCUAAAAUUUAAAACAUUCUAAUUACAUCUUAAAUUAUUGAUGAUUUAAUGUUAUAUCAAUCAGGUCUUUUUGUUACUAAAAUUGUUAUAUAACCGUUAAAAAAUGACAUGUCAGAUCUUAUGUAAUAUAAUUAAAAAAUAAAAAUUAAAGAAAAAUAAAUAUCGUAAAGUAUUGGUUUUGAGGUUCUUAAAGCUUCUAUAGAAAUUUUAUCAUUCAUUUAAAUCGACUCUAGCAAUCACUCUAAACUGACAUUCGCCUCUCUACCCUUUGCACAUAUGAGGUAGAGUGCAUACUGGCUGGGAAUCACGUUUUGCCACCAUUCCUUUAUAAGUAUCCCCCCUCAACAUCAAGGCAAGGGAGAGACUCAGAAGAAUAUACGAAACCAUAGCAUAUAUUCUACUCGAAUACAAUCUCAACAUUGCUAAAUCACCACUCUUAGGCUCCUUGCACUACUUACAAUGUGAACCACUUUCAUCUUUGUGACUCUAUGCACUUUUUAUGGUGUAAACUAUCUCUAGUUUUAUAUAAUUUACUUGUUAUAACAACUCUAAAGAAAUAUGUUAUUAUUGAAUUGAAGAAAAAUAAAGCAACUUUAUUCUAUUAAAUUAAGAAUAUUUACUUUUGUAAGAUAUCAAAUUUUGAAGGUUAAAAUAUGGCACAGAUCCUUGUACUCUUCACAAAUUUAAAAAUUAGCCAUUAUACUUUUAUUCUCAUGAAUUUAGUUUAUUUACUUUUUAGAUUUCAAAAUCCCGUUUUAAUUGUUAACAUUAUUUUUUUUGUUAAAUUUGUCAGUGUGACAUUUUAAAAUAAAAAAAAUACUCACUUGGUAGAAAUGUAGGUACAAAAAUGACAUUAAAAUGAACCAGAAUUUAACAAAGUAAUCCUAACAGUAUUAAUAGUUGGAUAUGAAUUUUGAGAUUUAAAAAGUAGAGGGAUUAAAUUCCUAGAAAUAAAAAUAUAAGGACUAAAUUUCAAAAUUUAAAAAAAAUACAGGAAUGUAUGGUAUAUUUUAACCAUUUUUGAAUUAAAUUGUAUUUUGGGCAAUAACUUUAUUUAACCCAAAUAUGGUAUAGAUGAGAGGUGUAAAGUUGCUUCUGUCUCAAUUCAAGCCCACAUGAGUUGCUUGGACAGUUGGUGGUAAGUAUAGUAGAGUAUUGAUGUUGGCUGCCACUUGGUCGGACCAAAAAUACAAAUAUUGUUGUUGGUAUUUCAUGGUUGAGUUCAAUAUACGCAAAACAUCUAUUUUUCUUCUAAGGAUCCACCAUUUUUUUAAAGCUUUCUUCUGCUGCUCCAUCUUAUCUCAUCAUUGCAUUCUAAUUAGAAAGGUAAUUUAAGUUCAAGAGAUUCUUCUAUGUUGCGCUCAUAAAGAUAUUAAUAUUAGUUUGGGUGAGAAUAAAAACAAUAGUGAUGAUAAAAUUAUUUAUUGUAACAAUGAAAUUUGAUAUUGUAAUAGAAAUUAAUUUAUGGGGUCAGGGAAACUUGAAAAGAUGAACACGAUGAUCCAUUUCUUCCUUUCUAUUCACCUUUGCUUGCAUUGAGGGAAAUUGAGGUUGCAAGUUGGCAAUGAAAGGAGGGAGAGUAGGGCCUAUAAAGAUGCGGAGGGAGUCAGGCAUGCAUACAUAGAUGGGCAUGGCUUCAGUUCUACCCUCACACACUAUUCUCCGCCUAAUUCAUUUUGUUGGCCAAAUAUUGAACAACCGACAACUUCAUCCUUUGCUUUGCUUGGUAAACAAGCUAUCAUCCUGCUCCUACCUCUUCCAUAAUCAUUACAUCAUUUUUUGGUUUUCUAUUCAGACUCUGAACUUACUAAAUGAUCAUGCAUUGAUAUCCAAAUCAUUAUAACUUUAUAGUACCUAAUCAUGUUUCAUAAUUCCUAAAACUAACUCUCCUCGCCUCUAACCAUACCCUAGAGGUUUCCCCUUAUUUAGACAAUAAACUAGGGGCAUAUAUAGGACAAAGGGACCCACACCAAACUCCCCCUCCACUAUAUAUAUAAACCCUUCCGAUCACUAAGAAGGGUUAGACUCCAACUAUUAGAACUUCUCUAAUACAUGUUACUAGUGAAUCACUCACACUUAGGACUAGGGGUUUUCAACCUCGGUUUGGAUAAUAUUCGAAUCAAAUUACUAUUAAUUGAAUUAUUCGAAAUAUAAAAAUUUUUAACCGUUAAUCGAAUAGAAGUUUUUUUCAAAUACAUUAAUCAAACCGAAAUUUAUAUAUUUUUGGAUCUUUUGGCUAAAAUAAGUAUAAAACAUAUAAAAAAUAUAUUGCCAAUGUUUAUUUUCUUUUAUUUAAUAGUUCAAAAAGCUUUAAAUAGAGGUGAAAACAAAAAAUAAGACGUUAGAAACACUAUAUAUAUUAAUUAUUUAUAUACUGGGGGUGGGCUAUAUAUAUUAUAUAUUAUCUAUUUUGGUUAAUUGGUUAAUUUGAUUAAUUACUCGAUUUCGAACUGAAUUAACCGAUAAUCAAAAUUUCAAAAAAUCAUUAACCGACUUUUGACCGAACUAAAUUCAGCCACCGACCGGUUAACUGAAUUAGACCGAUUCGGUUGGUUAAUUCGAUUUUAACCGAACUGUGAACAUCCCUAGUUAGGGGUGUGCAUUUGAUCGGUUUGUUUUGUUUAUACUGAAAAUCAAAUAAAUUAAAUUAUCCAUGUAACUUGAAUAAACUGAACAAACUUAGAGAGCAUAACUGAAUUGAAAAUUUUCAGUUCGGUUCAGCUGUUAAAUUUUUUUUGAGUUGGAUUUCAUUUUACUAAUUGAGGUAUUUAUAUUUUUAUUUCUUUUAAUUUUUUUCAGAUAAUUAUCUUCUUUCUUCAAUUUAACCUAACACAUCACUUUUAUUUUUAUUUUUAUUUCAAAUUCAUUAUAAAAAUAUUAAAAUGAAAAUGAAAAUUCUUUUAAUUAACUCAAAUUCAGUUUAUGUUUUCCUAUUGGAUUCCAAUGUUCCAUGUUUGUUAACUGUGUCAUUCGUAUGGGAUUGUUCAUUUUCUUACAAGGCUUGGAUGUAAGCAUUUCAUUUUCAUGAUUUAAAUAUCUAUGCUGAUGAUUAGUACACUAUAGAAGACAGGUUGAAAUGACUUUAUAAUAUAUAUUUAUACCACGUGUUUAGGUUUAGUGUACGUUUUAGGGUUUUUUAUAUAUUAAAAUUAAAUUAUUAAUUUGGGUUUUAAAUUUAAAUGGAUUUUAGCUUUUAAAAAUAUUAAGUUUUAAUUAAUAUUGAGUUUAAGGUUUACAUUUGAGUUUAGGUAUGUGAAUGGGUUAUGGACUUAAUCGAUUUAAAAUGUAAAAACCAAAAAUUAACUAAAUAAACUAAUUAAAUCAAACUUGAAGGCCAAUUAAACCGAAAAAUCGGAAAAAAAAAAUUGGUAUCUUUGGUGAUUCACUUUGGUGGUUGUGGUUUAGAAAUUUUUUUUUCACACCCCUACUCACAAUCACAUCAUCUAUCUCCAUCACCAAACUUUAUGAAACACUUUAUGAAACAUAUUGUUGAUUUUUGCAUAGAUACAUGGUAAGCUGCAACAAGAUUAAGUCAUUGCUACAAGAAAAAUAGCUGAUGAUUAAAAAUUUUAACACAAGAGCGCGUGUUGAUAAUGUAGUAAAGUGAUAAGUAAUAUAUUUUUCUCAUGAAAACUAAAUUAUAAGUUGCUAAGCACCAACCAUUUCGUUUUAUGUAAAUCUAGAUAAGUAAAAUAAAUCCUAAUUGCUACUAAAAUUAAACUAAGUUUCUCAAUGAAGUGUAUGAUAUCUUGGAACUUUAAUUUCACCUAAUCCUGCUAAUCAAUUAUCCCUCAUGCAAUCAUUCAGUCUAUGUAAUUACUAACUCAAGUUUCAAUAGAUUAACUAAACCAUUCUAGUAUCUAGCUAAGUCAAUCCUCUUUCCCCACUAGCUAUAUUCCAAUCUCUGGCAAGAUAUCAUAAAUAACAAAUUUAUUAUAGCUGCAAAUUAACUCGUUUGUCGCUACUAGAGUUACUCCUAAUCUAUUCAAUCUAGAUCUCAACCUUACCUUUCGACAAAUUAAGAUUAUUAAAUUAAUACAACAUGAUAACCAUACAAGCAAAUUAAAUAAUCACAAAACUAAAUAAUUAAUAAUUAACAUAGAUCAAAAUUAAUAAUUAAUCAACUAAUAUGUAUAGAACCCAUCACCAUUCCAGAAAAAUAAAAUUUAAUUCAUCAUGACUUGAGAAUAUGACAAAAAGGUAUUCAACACAAUCUUACAUAAAUAAAAAUCUAGAGAGAAAAUUGAUGAAAAGGAUGCUCUCGGAUCUCUUUGAAAGCCUCACAUCCCUUGACCUGGGAGCCUACUUCAAAUCAUGAAGUGCCUUUUUGAGUCUGCUGGAUGCUUAGGAUCUUCAAACCCCUGAUGUUGUUCCAAAUAGAUUUCUUCAUCUAUGAACUUAUUCAGAAAUGCAUUCGAUACAACUUAAUGUUAAGAUGAGUUGCAACUUCCAAAGCAACCAAAUGACCUCAAAUCUGGGUCUUAGAGCAAACUUCACAUCAAAAUUAAUUCUCUCUACCUGUGCCGUAUCCUGGAGCCAAAAACCUUGCUUUAUUCUUAGUGAUAUUCCCUGGUUCAUUUGUUUUGUUUUGGAAUAUCCAUUUUGCUCAUUGUCAAAAAAAGCCUUUUCGAAAUGAAGGCAAUAAUCAUAUUACGCCACGUCCAAAACCAACUCCUUAAAUUAGUCGCAUCACAUCACUUUCAAGGACAAAAAGAGAUCAAAUUAUAAUUUACUAUUGAGGCAAACCAUUUUCCGCAGAGAAGAAACAACAGAAAUACACAAAAAGAACAUCUUAAACUAGGAAGAAUAAAAGAGACCAGUUUUGAGUAUAGUUAGAAACAAAGAAUUAAUAACAAAAAUUGAAGGAAAAAAACCCAUAUUUUCCUUUUGUUUCUCUCCUUGGGUUUAACGUUCAUGUUGGUCUUGCUUUCAUAUUAUCGCUGGUGGUAUUCGUUGCUUGGACUCAUCUGUGAAAAAAUGAAAAUAUUUUCCAAGGAUCAUCAAAUAUUAUUUGAAAUCAAAAUCAAUAACGUAGUUGUCUUCUCCAUCUAUUUUCACAACUCUCUAACAUUGUUUUAUUCAAGUAAACACUCUCAUCGGUAGCUUCCUCGAGCAUCUGAAUCGCAUCUUCAGCUCUACCUUCUCUGGAUAAUGUACAUGUUUAUGGUAUUCCAAUGUAAAAGUCAGCUUCCUCAACCUUUUCCUUUUAUUAAUUAGUAUAUCAGCAUGCAACGAUUUUAUUACUAAAAAAAAAUCAACAAUUUAUUACUUAACAACACAAACUAAGUAAGUUUACAUCGAUAUAUGUUGUAUACAUCUUGUUUAAAGUAAUGAUAUGUGAUGGGCAAAAAUCUGGCCCUUAUUAGCAUUACAAAUCUAAUCACAAAACAAAGAGUCAAAAGACAUACAUUACAUGUAUGUUAUUCACUUUUAAUCAGUCCUUAGAUGGAACUUAAACCGGCUUUUCCUUUAAACCUGCAAUGAUUGCAGAGAGGCGAAUAUAAGGAUGGCGUUUGGUAUUUGUCUUCCCCACCCAUCAUCGGCAUCGCCACACCUCGUUUCACGGGGCUAACGUAGUCCGGCCGGUAAGUCUGUCCCAACACCCCUUCCACUAGAUUGGUUAGUCCGGUGAACUUGAACUGUGUCUCCAAAUGUGCAAAGGCGUCAUCAGCAGGCAACUGGUAAUUGUGAACCUUGUUUUCAUGUUCCCCGAUGGCUCUAACUUUUACAUUCAACUCCACCAGCCCUGCAACUGUGACCUUAACACCGUUGGUUUCCUCAUUUCUUUCAACUAUCACUUCCCUUUCUUCCGAAUUAGUCCUCCACUCGGCUUCUCCGUCUGUCGGGAUGUUUACGACAGCGCCGUCCCAUCUUACAAUGAGAGCGUCGAAGCUGUUGUCCCAUUGAGAAACUCUCUUUGCCGCGAGGACGAGAGUGUGAGUAUCGAACAUGACCGCCAAGGCUUGCACCCAUGUGUAGUCUCGUGUACGUCCUUGGGGUCGUGUCCCGAUGAAGUGUGCAUUGAUUUGGAGGUUCUCAUCUGAUACAAUGGCGAAAUUUCCAUCCUUGGCUCCAUGGAAGUAAAACAUAGCUCCAUCACCACCAACAAACCUUGGAUCAUAGCAUAGAGACCCAUAUCCGUUACAGUUUGGCUUUCUCCCUGUGAAACAACUUCAAAUCAUCAGCAUACAUACACAGAUUACGCAUAGAUACACCCAUAUAUACAUAUAAAUAUAUAUACUUACAUUUGCAGGUGACUUCACAUUUGCUACUGCAGUCAAAGAAGCAUCCUUUGACCUUCUUAUUCUUUUUGGGCUUCCUUUGAGCGCAUUGACUCGGACAUGUGAGUACCUUUCCAUUACAAGCUCCUCUUGCUAGGCAGUAAACUCUUUCUUGUCCAGUACUGGUGGGUGCCAAAACAGUAUAAUGAGUUGAAGCAGCAUCAUAGGGUGCCUUCUUGCUGUUGCUACCUUGCACAUUGCUAGCUUCCAUAGAAAUGAAAACUAGGGCAAGGGCCACCAAAAAGAAAGAGUAUCUUCUAUCCAUGUCUCUCUGUGUUUUAAAAGUUCCUUCUCCUUCUAUUAAUCUUUAAAUGUUGCAGUGUGGAGAGGAGAUAGGCGGAGAUAUAGUGUCACGGAAAACCCUAUAUAAAGGCCAGUUCCGCAUGCGGUUUGCCUCCAAAUACGGCUAAAGCCAUGUGAAGUUUCCUCUUUCUAUAAACAAGCAGUUGACAGAGAAAUAGCUCCUCUGGAUCUGCAAUUUGUUUAUAUUUACAAUUUUACAUUACUCGGUGUAAGGGAAAGAUAUAAAUGAGAAAAGGGUGCUAUAAAACUGUCCACCUCAUCCUAUUCCAAAAGAUAAUAAAUCAGAAUUUUUCAUUUUCAUUUUCAAUUUUUUCUUCUUGAAAAAAUAAAUUCAACUAAAAAUGUUAAAAAUUAGGAGAAAGAUAUGGAUAAGAUAGAAUCACAGUUUCAUAUCGUCCCUUCUCAAUAUAAAUAUAUGUUAGACGAUUUUUCUUUUUUUAAGAUUUCCAUGUAUUUAGAGACCUAAACAAUAAUUUGAUUACAUGCAUAUACAUGCAAAUUAUAUAUUUAAAAUAUAAUUUUGCGUUUAAAAAAUAAUAUUUAAUAAAUAAUGAAAUAUAUGUUUUGAAAUUAAUAAUAAUAUAUAUGAAUAUGUGCUAUGAAAUUUAAAAAAUAAAUUUAUUUAAAUUGUGAGUAAAAUUAAAUUUAAAUAGGUAAAUACAUAUGAUAAAAAAUAUUAAAUGCACUUUAAUUAUUUUUCUAGCUCAGUGUUGUCAUUUUUCUAUAAUAAUAAUAUAUAUGUAAUAUGUAUGAAAUUAAAAAAAUAAAUUUAUUUAAAUUGUAAGUAAAAAUAAAUUUAAUUAAACAAAUACAUAUGAUCAAAAAUAUUAAAUGCACCCCAAUUUUUUUCUAACUAGUGUUGUCGUUUUUUUAUAACACCUUACAAUGUUAUCAUGUUAGAUAGCAUUACUUAACAUCUAAUAUAACUUAUUUUAAAUAUAGAAAGAUAUUGUUGUAAUUUCUUCAAUCGAGUUGGUGUUUGGUUAGCUUAUGCACCAACUCAAUCAAAAGUUUAAAGUUAGAAGAGAUAUAAAUGAAAAAAAAAUUGUAUAAUGAUAUUAAAAUGUAAAAAAAAAUUAUAAUUGUUCUCGAGUUUGUAUUUUUUUUUUUUGAUUUUAUUAAUUUGUGAAUAGAAAUAGUUAUAUCUAAAUAUAUAUAUAUGAAAUAUGGUGAAGAAAAACGAUGAAUAAAAAUAACAUAUUACUAUGUCAAGAAACUUAGGAAUAGGCCUUGGUUGAGAUUGGAGAUGGUGAUGAGAAUAGUAAUAAAUGUGAUGCUUCAAGUUGAAGCACUAAUCUAGUUGUUAUCACACAUUAUCAUGUGACUAAAGCUUCUAAUAAUGGCGGAUCCCAUGGUAUUUUAAAUGACUCUCCAAGGUCAAACCGCCUAGAUUUGUGGUUUGUGCACACCUCCUUCACCCGGCUAGGCCGCCCAAAUCUUUAUAAUAUUUUGAAACUUGAGAAAAGUAAGCUUUUAAUAACUACAAGUUGCAUUAAGAGAAAAGGUCGAGUCAACCCCAUUAAAUGAACAACAAAUUCAUCUGAAUAUAUAUAUCAUAGCUACUUGGGGCAUUUCAUUCAAUAUUUAAUACAUCACAAACGAAUUUAAACAUAUCACAUAUUCUCUUUAAAGUAUGGUGAAAGAAGAAGAAAAAAGAAUUAAGCAUUGAAAAAUAAGACUAGUGUUUUGUUGUUUAUUCAGUGGGUAAUUUUCAUAUGGCCCUUAUUAUUUUACAAUAGAAAAAAAAUUAAGGUAAAAACAUGUAAAACGACAUAAUUGACACAUAUUGGUUUAUUUUAGAGAACAAAUUUAUUGUGUGUCGAUUAUUAUCAGCUUGGAGAUGGAGAAUAUCAAACUCAGUUCAGAUGGUGGCAACUGAUCCAGAUGGCCUCUGAAACCUGCAAGCCUUGCAGAAAGGUGAAAAGAGUGAUGGGGUUUGGUACUUGUCUUCCCCACCCAUCAUUGGCAUAGCCACCCCUCUCCUCACUGGGCUAACAUAAUCUGGCUGGUAUGUUUUCCCCAACACUCCUUCAACUUCAUCACUUAAGUUGGUGAACUUGAACUGUGUUUCCAAGUGAGCAAAGGCAUCAUCAUCUGGUAACUGAUAGUUAUGAACCUUGUUUUCUUCUUUGCCAAUGGGUCUCACCCUUAUGUCUAUCUCCACCAAUCCAGAUAUUUUGACAUGAAGACUGUUUUUGUCAUCGGUUCUUUCCACCAACACUUGUCUUUCAUCGCCGUUACCCUUCCUCCAUUCACCUUCUCCGUCGUAAGGGAUGGUAACCGUCUCGUCGUCCCAUCGUACACUGAGAGCAUCAACAUUGUCAUCCCAGUGAGAAACUCUAUUUGCUGCAAUGACAAGUGUGUGGGUAUCGAACAUGACAGCCAAGGCUUGCACCCAUGUGAAAUCACGAGUCCUUCCUUGUGGUCUAGUGCCGAUGAAAUGAGCAUUGAUUUGAAGCUGACCAUCUGAGACAAUGGCGAAGUUCCCACCCUUGGCUCCAUGGAAGUAGAACAUAACUCCAUCACCACCAACAAAACGAGGGUCAUAGCAAAGAGAGCCAUAGCCAUCACAUUUUGGUUUCCUCCCUGAAAACAUACCAAAAAGUAAAAUAAAAUAAAAAUCUGAGAGAAGUAGGAAUUAGGGUGACUGGUAUUAUAAGUAUAUAUGCUUACACUUGCAAGUGGCUUCGCACUUGCUGCCGCAGUUAAUAUGGCAAGCCUUCUGCUUUUUGUUCUUCGUAGGCUUCCUCUGAGGGCAUUCAGAUGGACAAACAAGGGUCUUCUGGUAACAAGCACUUUUCCCUUUGCAGUAGGCUCGUUCUUGCCCGGUCCCUGAUGAUGACAUGUCAUAAUUCACUUCAUCAUCGUCUUUCUUAUUCUUCUUCUUAUCUCCAUUGCCCUUGUUUUUGCCUUUGCCAUCGUCGCUGUCGCCCUUGCCCUUACCAUUGCUGUUGCCCUUGCCCUUACCAUUGCUGUUGCUGUUGCCAUAUCCAUUACCAUUGUUGUUGCCAUUCCCAUUGUUACCCUUACCUUGACCAUGCACGAUGGCGGCUUCAGUGGAUAGCAGUACGAUAACGAGAACCACCAGAAUACUAUACGACUUCAUCUCGUACUCGAAUUGACACACUACUUAUAUGUUUGUUUCUCCUCUUUAUAUAGCUUAUGAUUAUUAUUAGUGGUAGAGUCGAUCAAUGGAGGAGGGUUGUUGAAAAUGUAGCACAAAAUCAACCUAUUUAUAGGGUUUGUCAGGAUGAACCUCGCCUUGAACGUUGGGUUCAUGGUAAUGCUAUUACGGGUGUAAUACGUUACUUACUUAAUCGGUGAAAUCCACCGAUUUGUAAUACAUCCCUUUUGCUCAGUUUAGGUCCUGAUUCAAUUUUCUUCCCUGUUUUAGCCUCCCGAUUGACACUUCUGUCUUACCCAAAGUCUUCUGUUUCUUCCUUCUACCUUUCUUCUCCACUCUCCUCGCCGUUUCUCCUUCUCCCUGUUAUAUGUUUUUUUUGUAUUAUUAUUUUCUCAAUAGAUCUGCGCAGCAGCACCCACCAUUUUCAUUUCAAAUUUCCCAUCUAACCGGUUUUUUUUCUUCAUCUAACCAACCCUAGCAGCGUUGUUUCGUAGGACGACCCUUGGUUUUGCCACUAUUUACGGCGUUAACCCAUUGGAAGAAACUCCACUCUUUAACUUCCUUUUUUGCGGUUGUAUAUAUAGAUUUCUAUUUUUUUCCUAGGUUUUAGAAUUUGUUUGUUUUUUAGGGAGUUUAGGGCCGUGCUAUGAAUAAUAGAGGGAGGUAUCCAUCGGUGCUCGGCCGUAGCCGCGGAGCGAACGCGAACCCUAGCUUUCAAUCGAGGCUGGAGCAACCGCAGUAUGCGCAGAGAAAUUUGGUGCAGAAUCAUCAUCAUUUUCAACAACAACAACAUCAUCAUCAUCAUCAUCUGCAAACAGCAACAACAUCAACAGCAGUGGCUCAGAUGAAACCAAUUGCCCGGCGGAAAUGACUCCACUGUCGCCGAUGAGGUCGAGAAGACCGUACAAUCUGAAGUCGUCAACUCAAGGUUCUUUUUUGUUUCUUCUCCUUUUUUCUUUUUAAUUGCAUUUGUGAUUAAUUUUUAUUUAAUUUUCUUGUACAUGUUACGUAUUGAAUGUUCAUAAUUAUAUUUUUUUCACAAAUUAAAUUUCUUGUGCAUUGUUUACAGUUAUUAAUUUUUUUAUUGAAUUUUCUUUUAUGUAUUUCAUAUUGAAUUGUGCACGGUUUUACAUUCUUUUUCAUCUUUCAGUUCACAUGAUUGGAAGGCAAGGCUAAAGAUGCCACCAUCAGAUACACGCUACAAAACGGAGGUAUUUUUGUUAAUGAUAUUAAUCGAGUAGAUAUUGAAGUUAAUACAACCUUUUUAAUAAUAUUGCAUAGCUUACCUAUCGUUUUAAAAAUUCCUUGAAGUUUCUGCUUUUACCAGUUAUGGUUAAAGAAAUUGUAGCAUUGGUUUUGUUUAUUUCACUAUAUAUAAUUGUCAUACCUUCGUUAAACUAUGAAAAUUCUCGAAGGAAAAAUUUCUGGCUUAUGUUAUUUGGGCAAUGCAGGUGAAUUACUCAUUAAUUUCCUAUAAGGUAUAUGAUUUUGAAUGGACAGUUUCCAAAGAUUAUAACUUAAGGACACUGAUACUAGUUCCUUGAUGUUGAGGCCUUUUGAACAAAGGGCCAUUUUUAGGCUUGCAAUUGCAUUUCUUUAUCCUCGAUAGCACUCCAUAUUGUUUCUCUGAUAUAAAUUUCACACAGGGCAUGGCAGUGCUUUUGUUGGUAUUUGGAUAUUUUUUAAAAUUUUAAUUUUGACGCUUAUGUACUGAUCUGCCUAUUAAAUUUGUGCCAGGAUGUGACUGCUACCAAAGGAAAUGAAUUUGAAGACUACUUUCUGAAACGUGAACUUAUUAUGGGAAUAUAUGAGAAGGGCUUUGAAAGACCAUCUCCUAUUCAGGAAGAGGGUAUUCCCAUUGCUUUAACUGGAAGUGAUAUUCUUGCUAGAGCCAAAAAUGGAACUGGGAAAACUGCAGUAUUUUGCAUUCCUGCAUUGGAAAAAAUUGACCAAGAUAACAAUGUUAUUCAAGGUUAGAUUUCAUCUACAUUUAAUUUCUUGAUUGUGUGUGUUUGUGUUACCAAUUCAAGCCCAAUAAAAUGGUAGUGGGGACUGAAAGUAGGAUUCUUUGGCCAUUUCAAUUAUUUAUUGUUCUUCUAGUUGUCUGAUCUGCUUGUCAAUCUGAUAUUGGAGAAGUGUGAGUGUCAUUUGUUUCAUUUCUUUUAACUGAUAUUUGAAUUAUGGGCUUUGGCAUGGACGGACUUAGUUGACUGACGAUCAAAUCUUUGUAGCAGUUCCUUAAACAUGUGCAUUAGGUCCUCCAUUUUGUAAGUUGGUGCAACUUUUUCCAUCAGUCCAAGCAGAAAUUUUCACUCAUCUUUCUGAAACCUUCCAAAUUAAGUUCUUUGUUGACCCUUAUGCUGUAAUUUGAAAUAUGAGUUAUAUUAGGUGCAAUGCCGAGGGAUGUUUUCAACACACUACCACCGUUUAGCUGUGGACUAUAGGAACAAUUCCAAGGUGUGUCUGCUUUCUGUUGGAUAAUAUAUUUUUUAAACUGAAGUUUAUAGCAUUUAUAAUUGGCAAAUUAUAUUAGGUGCAGAGAGAGUGAAUGAGAUAUUUUGAGUUGUACAGCAUCAGUUUGAAGUCUUAUCUGCCAAUUUGUUUAGUGAAAAUUUGUAAAAUGCAGGGCUGAUUGCUAUUUUAGUGUUGAUUUUUCCUUGAAUUUAGUUCAUAUUCUCAUAUUGUUGAAAUGUGCAUUAAUCAAUACCUUCUGUUAUUGAGAACCUUUAGGACAAAAAGAUGUAGAUAUAUUUUGUUGUAUUUAUCUACAUCUUUGUUUAUAGAGAAUCGACUGAAUUGCAAAAUUUUAGCGUCUGCUAUGAUGAAUGUCACCUGACUGGUAAUCAUUUUAGGGCUUCCUGACUCAGUACUACGAACAACUGCCAGUAAGUCUAGAGAAUUUGAGGUUGUAUAAGGGAAACACCGAAGCAAGGGAUCUGAAGACAAGUUGCCAAUGCAAAGUAGUCUUGUAGUUUUUAUUCGGGAACUAAUCAGCCUUACACGCUUAAAGACAUGCGAGGAGGGCACUUGUAUUAGGUCAUUGACUCAACUUCAACAGAGGGCAAGGAUGCUUCUACAUCAACAUUGAUUGAAUGAAAUCCAUGUAAUAUUUGUAAUUUUUCCCAGGGUCAUUCAUUUUCGGAUAUAGUUAGUGAUGUGAAUAUGAUUGUGACUAAUAUGCUAUCUAGCAUUUUGUAAAGUUUGGGUGGGCUAGAAAAUUGGAAAACAUAUUAGUUGGUAGCUGGAAGGUUGAAAUGAUCUGACCGGCAUUUUGUACAAUGCAGUUUGAAUUAAGUAAUUAACAGUAUUUGUGAAAAUUUGGGUGAUCAAGUUCAACAUUGCUUAAAGGUCAUAAUGCUUGGCACUGGUUAAAUGUAUAAAUUAUAUAUCAUUAUUAAAUUAUAUUUAAUAUUAAUUAUUUUAAAUUAUAUAAAUUCAUAUAAGAAAAUUUAUUAUCAAGAAUUUUAUGAAAUUAUAUAUCAUUAUUAAAUUAUAUUUAAUAUUAAUUAUUUUAAAUUAUAUAAAUUCAUAUAAGAAAAUUUAUUAUCAAGAAUUUUAUGAAAUUAUAUAUUAUUAUUAAAUUAUAUUUAAUAAUAAUUAUUUUAAAUUAUACAAAUUCAUAUAAGAAAAUUUAUUAGGUAUAAUUAUUAUAAAUUUUAUUAAAUCAUAUAUUUUAAUUAAAAUAUAUUUAAUAUUAAUUAUUUCAAAUUAUAUUUUAUAGUAUCAUAUAUUAUGAUUUGAGUAAAUUCAUGUAAGAAUAUUAAUUAUUAAGAAUUUUAUUAAAUUAUAUAUUUUAAUUAUAAUAUAUUUAAUAAUAAUUAUGUUUAAAUAUGAUUAAAUUAUUUAUUAUUGAUAAUAAUAAUCUUAUUAAAAUUUAAAUAACAAUAACAAUAAUCAUUUACCAAAACAAAUUUAUGCUAAGGGUAUUCUAGUCAUUUUAGUUUUUUCCAUUAUGCUAUUACACCUCUAUUCCAUUCAACCAAACACAAGAUUACUAUUACGCCUCUAUUCCAUUACAUUCAACCAAACAGUUGAUUUGCUAUUACACCUCUAAUCCAAUACACAUCUAAUCCAAUACAGCGAACCAAACGCACCCUUAAUGAUGCCUUCCUUUGCUGUUAAAAAGAAGCAAAACGGAAUAGGGUUUUGGAGGAAUAAAUUAGUAAUUAUAUUGUUUUUAUGUUCAAGUGCAAGUAAUGAGUAUAAUGUCCUUUUGAGUAAAAUCCAAAAAAGAAUCUUAUAAAUUUUAAGUAAUAAUAUUAAAUUCAAUACAAUAGUUUGUUAAAAUCAUAAAUUAUAAGCUCUCUUUUUUUCUCGCCAAAUAGCUGUUAAGUAUUUCUUUCGGUCUAAGCCUAUGUUAUGCUUCACUUUUCUUGAGUUCAAUGCAGUUUAUCAAAUGUUCAAUUAAUCCUCUAUAAUUAAACUUAUCUUUUUAAAGGUUGAAAUUAAAACUUCAUUUUUGCGAUAGUAAAAUUACAAUCAUAUUUUUAUAAUUUUUAAAGGACUAAAUCAAUUUUUUAUCAUUUUUAAAAGAGUAAAGUAUAAUUUUACCUUUACUAAUUUAAGUUUUUAAAAAAUUUAAAGGGCCCCUCACAGUCCCCUGGUACGCCCCUGCUUUGCUUUAGAUGUUUGAAAGUGUCCCUUCUUUCGUUACAUAUAUAAUUCAUAUUUGUGAGUUUAAAAAAAAUAAGAUUUAUAUUUGUAUAAAUGAUUAUGUGAUUAAUAAUUGUUAUACCUACUCUACGUGUUAUCAACAACCAUGUUAUACGCUAAUGUAUCCAUAUCAAACAAAUCUCUAACCAGGCGAACGCCAGACCUUAGUAGAUUGAUGAACCUUCAUAAGAUUACUUUCGCUAGGUAUGUGUGAGACGCAUGUGGGGACUUAGACUUAUUAAUUACCUAGUUUUCCUAAGAAAUUAUAUCAUAGGACAUCACAUCACCGCCACUGUAAGGGAACAAGGUACAACUUCACUGUAAGAAGUUAUAUCAUAGAACGUCAGACCUCACAUAUAUGUUCAUCAUAUCGUAUGAGAACAGGCCAAGACACAAAAAUCACCUCCCAUCUUUCCUUAUUCUCCUCCUACCAAGAACAAUCUCCCAAGACCAUUCUAUCACCAUUCAGUGGCUCUCCGCCCAACUGUGGAUGAACUUAGGGGUGUAAUCGAGCCGAGCUCAAAUAUUGCCAAGCUUGAACUCGACUCGAAAUUCAAAGCUUGAUACUCAACUCGAGCUCAUCAAACAUUUAUUUUUAAGCUCGAUUAAGCUUGUUUAUCAUUUUUUACUCAAGCUCGAACUCGAGCUUAAGCUCGAUUUAAUUAUUAAGCUUAGGGUUAAUAAUAUAUAUUAAGGGCAAUAACGUAAUUUAAUCAUAUAAAAAUAUGAAAAGCUCGAUAAGGCUUACGAGCCGAUCGAGUCAAGUAUUAAUAAGCUUGAAUUUGGCUCGAUCAAUAGCUUGGGUUGCUCAAGCUUGGCUCGAUAAUUGCCAAAUUGAAUUCAUAUUUUUAGUCGAGCUCGAGUAGCUUGUGAACACCAGUGUCUCAUUUACACCCUUAAGUGAACUACCACCAUAUCAUUCAUCUCCUCAUUCUUGUUAAUCCCACCGGUUAACAAAGUAAAAUAUAAUAGAUAAAAAUUAAUUGUAUUUUAUACCGAACCUAAAGGGCUAAAUGUCUUUUACCCCUAUUAUUAAUGCUUCUUUAAUGUGAUCGUAAAAUCAAGAAAGGUUCAUUGUCAUGUUAAUUAAUAAUUUAAUUAAGGGUUAAUUUUUGAUACAUUGACGGUAUAUAAUUCUAUGCAAUAUCAGUUAACCAAAUGAUGCCACAUCAUUAGAAAUAAAGUGAAUUUAGUUUUAAAACUUUUUAAUGAUGUGUAAUCGUCUAAUUUACUAAUGGUGCAUAGAAUUAUAUACUAGCAGUGCAUCAAAUAUAAACACUGUUAAUCAAUAUUAUUUUUUAUUAGAGUAAACUACACUAGUAGUCAUCCAACUACUAGUGAAUUUUUUUUUAUUACACAACUAUGAAAAGUUACAAAAUGAUCACUAAACUAUUCAGUUUUGUCUUUUUUGGUCACCAGCCGACUAACGGCAGCAACAUUUAAAAUUGGCAUGAUAACAAGUUUAACGCUCAACAUUAAUAAAUUACGUCAAUUUAGUAUUGAUUCUAAAAAAUUAAUCCUAAACAUUUACACAUUGUGUAAUUUAGUCUUCUUCUUUUUUCUGCAGGUUUGCUCUUUUUUUUUUUUUUUGUAAAGCUUUGCAAUUUUGCUUUUAUUUGUGAUAUUGAAGGUUAAUUUUAAAAGAAUGAGAAAAGAUGAAAAUUAUUAUCUUGGAUUUUUUGCUAUUUCCAUUUUUUGUAUAUUUUCAAUCAAAUUUAGCUAAUACUUCUUUUAAGCUUUUUAGGUGAAAGGGUCACAAUGAAAAGCAAAACUGCAAAAAAGACUAAAUUACACAAUGUGUAAAUGUUGAUGUUGAUGGGGAAAUUUUUUAGAAUUAAGACUAAAUUGACACAUUGUAUAAAUGUUGAGGGUUAAAGUUGCUAAGUUGCUAUUAUGCCAAUUUGAAAAGUUUUCACCAUUAGUCGGCUGGUGACCAGAAAAGAGAAAAUUGAAUAGUUUGGUAACCAUUUUGUAACUUUUCAUAGUUAGGUGACCAAAAAAGAAAUAUAUUAAUAAUUGGAUAACUACUAGUGUAGUUUACCCUUUUUAUUAUCACAUAAUAAUAUAUUAAAAAUGUUUUUAAAAUGUCAAUUCAAUAAUAUACAGAGUAAUAUUCAAAAGUUUAUCUAAAUUCGUAUUUUCAUAAAUACUAUAUUACAACACAUUCAGAUAUGGGUAAAAAAAUUAUAUAAAAAUAUAUUUUUAAAAUUUUUAUCUAAAAUCUAAACAAAGCUUUAGUUAAAAUGGUGAAUAAUAUUUUAGGUUCAAACCCAAUAAAUUGUGAGUUUUAUAUUUAGUCAUUAUUUAAUUGAUCUAAUAUUCGAUUAAUUCGUAACAUCAACUCGGUCAAAGAUUUAAUAUAUAGUAUAAGUAGAAUAGAGUUGUUGAAAUUUAUCUAUCAAAAAAAAAACUUAUUGGAGACAACAUACUUUUUAAAAUUUUGAAAUAAAUAUCUAAGAGAUACAUGUACCAUAGAGUGAAUAAAUACAAUUUAUAACUGAACUCUGUGUGUUGGUCUGAUGAUUAAGGUGUUCAUCGCCUUAAGUGUCACUUGAAUUCGGUCACGCUAAUCGAGUUGCUAUUAAGAAUUAAUUCCAAAAUUUAAAAAAUCUAAAAGUGUUCUUUGAAACAUUAAAAAUUACGAAAAAAAAAUUAUUAAAAUUCAGAAAAAGUUGUUCAGAUAAUUUUUUUUAAUGUUUAAACUACAAAAUUGAGCUAACUUGUCUUUGUUAACCAGAUUACUCCAAUAGUGGACGGCGAGCGAGCAUUUCCUCAAGAUAUGGUCGAUAUUUUCGACGCUGGCAUCGCAAAUAUAACAGGUCGGAUUUUUUAAAAAGAGUUAAAAGUUAUUUUUUAAUGAAAAUAUUGAUUAAAAUGUUAAUUUUUUAUACAUGUCUGUAUGUUUAUUUUAUGUUUUUUUUUAUGAAAUUUUUAUAUAUUUUAAAUUUUUUUUGAAUAUUUUAUAAUUUUAAAUUAUUUUUUGACGUAACAUAUAUGACAAGUAGUAUCAUAUUAGCAUGAAGUACACAUGGAGUGCUAUACGAGUUGUCAUGCUAACUUUGUUCAAAAAUUGAUAUUUUAGUCAAUAAUUUUAUUUAAAACAAUUUAAUUAUUAAAAAAAAGUUAAUAAUCAACUUUAAUUCUAAAAAGAAUAAACAUCAAAUUAAAAAAAAUUAAAGAUUAAAUUUGAGAGACACAUGAAUUUCCACAUUUUAAGCAAAGCAUCGUAUAAGUUAUAUGAAAAGAAUCACCAGCCUUUUUGAAAAAUGGAAGCAAUGUCAUUGCCACUCCUACACUUUUGGUACGUUCUCUGCUUUAGUAAACAAUAAUUCAUUGAGCCAAUAUUUUAGCCUUCUUUUUUCUUUUUUACUUCACAUCAAAUUAUUGAACUCUAAAUAACAAAAAAAAGUUAUAUUUAAACUAUUUGUAUCAUCUUUUUCCCACAUAUUAUUCAAAUUAAAAUGUAAAAAUAGUAAAAAUAAAAUUGUAAUUAAUUAUGUAUAUACUAUUAUUUAUGUAUGUAACUUUAUUAGUAUUAUGAGUUAUACUAAUCCAAUUACAAAUUUUAAAUAAUUAUAUUAUUAUAAUUUUUUAUCUUUUCCUAUAUUUAUAUUAAUUUUAUAAAAAAAUAAAUUUAGAAAAAAUGUACAAAUGACAAAAUUUUAACCUAAAAUAUCCCUCGAUAUUAUAAAAUGACAUGUGUGUGUCUUAGUUACUAAUAGACUUGUUCAUAGGUUGGGUCAGGAAGGAAGGGUUUGGGUAAAAAUAAGACUAAAAAAAUGAGCUUGGACAAAAAAAUAAGGCCCAUUUAAAAAACAGACCAAGCCCUGAGUAAGACAUUUUUGGCCCGGGCCAGGAUCGGCCCGAAUUCACUAAAAGACAAAAAAAUCUACUAUUUUUUUUUUCUAAUACUAUUUUCUUAUUGUUUUCUCCCUAUUUUGCUAUCAUUUUACUAUUAUGUUGCUACUAUUUUGUUGUUAUUGUUUGGAUAUUGUAUAAAACUUAUUUUAUUGUUAAUUUUGUUAUUAUUUUAGAGGCAUUUGUUUGUUAAGUUGCAUCUAUCUUAGUAUUAUUUAAGUAUACAUAUUUUUUAAAAUUUAUUUUCAAUUUGCUGAGAAAUAUUUAUUUUGAUUUUUUAGUAUUUUUGAUAUAUUAUAUACAUUUAAAAAUUAUAUAAAAUAAUUAAUACAGGCGGGCCAGGCCAGGCCAGGCUCGGGUUUUCACAUUUUUAUCCGAGUUGAGCUUGGGAAAAAUUUUAGGCCCAUUUUUCGAGCAAGGUUGGGCCCAAGCCUAGCAAAUAGACCUGAAUUUUUAGUUGGACCCAGCCCAUGAACACCUCUAGUUACUAGUAUAUAGUAAAAUUAACUUAUGAUAUCCUUCUCUAAAAUUUAUGAAGGCUUAAUUGAUAUUUUAAUUAUUUGACAUGAAAAAAUGUUGAUGUAUAGGGUUUAAUUGUUAUUUUAAUUAUUUUAUGAGGGCUUAAUUAAUUUUUUAAUUAUUUUAAAAGGGUUUAAUUAAUUUUUAAUUAUUUAAGUCUAAAAUUAUUAAAAUAUUAUUUAAAAAUUAUAGAAAAAAUAUAAAUAAUAUUAUCUCCAAGGUUUGAACUUAUGUUCUCUCCUUAGGAUUGUAAUAUGACUUACCACUAUACCCAACACUUGUUGAUAAAAACUUAUAAAUAAUAUAAAAAUCAAAUAUUAUUAAUAUAGUUUGUGGUUAUGAUUUGAACCAAAAUGCUUUUAGCCAUUAGAUCAAAUUGAAUGGUUCUAAGCAUUAGAUUUAUGAUUUAACUUAUCUCAUUAAAAUAAAAAGCACACCACUCAAUCAAUUUUCCUUUCUUUGAGAUUAUGCAAAAGAAAAUCUUUCAUGUUAUUGAUCUAAAAAAUUUCCAAAAUUACAAUUGUUUAUUUGUACUAGAAAUAUAGAUUUUGCAUUUGCACAAUUCAUGUUCAAGUUGUUUUUGUAACACCCCUUACCCGGUCCUGUCGUCGAACCCAAGCUAUAGGAUGUUACAACAGUUAACAGAAGAGUUCACAUAUAUUUCUGACUUUAAUAUUCAAUAAAUCAACAAAACAUUUCAUAAUUCAAGUACAAUAUGAUUACAACCAAAACUGAGUCUCAAUCGAGCUUACGAAGCUCUUGAACCAACUUGAAAACAAUUUAGGACUAAUUUGAAAAUUUUACAAAAAUAUAGGUAAAAAGGUAAAACAGGGGUCACAAGGUCGUGUGGCCAAAUCGUGUGACAGGCUGAUGCCGUGUGGAGCUAGAUGGCAUGGUCGUGUACCUAAGCCGUGUAACAAAUUGAAGUCAUCCACCCAAAUAAACAUACCAAAAUGGGCAAGUUCAUAAAGUUGAACACCAAGCACAUAUAUAUAUCACAUCUAUUACAUGCCACUUAUAAUUGAUAUGAGAUGAAUCAAAGAUUACCAAAAAAACCAUUGGAUAGUAUGAGCCCUAGAAGUGAUCCAAUAGCCAAGUUUAGCAAAUAUGCAACUACAAAAGACAUAAAAUAAAACGGGGUAAGCAUUGACAUACUUAGUAAGUUCAUAGAUGUUUAGACAAGAUUCUUACCUCAGUUUACAAUUACGUAAACAUAUAUAACAAAUUUUAUACGAUUUCCUAUCAAGACAUUUACAAUAACGAGGUGAGCAUUUCAUGUAUCAAGUGUAUAAUCUCACUAUCAAUCACUAUGAUAUGUUUCUGUAUCAUUCAAUAGGAAGGAUCCAACAUAUAAAUCAUAUUAAACAAUUGAUCGCAUCAAUUCAUAUUCACAAUCAAAUACCAUUUCUUUUAAACAUAUAGCACUGUCACUGCAUAUCACAUUUAUAAAUUAAGCGUUUCAUACAUAUAAACUAUAAACUUUCUAGUCAUUUUGAUAUCAUUUCCAAAUAACUUUUAAACACAUACUCAUCAUUCGUUCAAUUUCAUCGGUUAACAUUUCAAUGGUCGUACUAACAUAUCAUUUCCAAACAAUUCAUGCAGUCAAUCAAUAUAUGUUCUUUUAAUAGUUAGCCCGAUGAACUAUAGUUGUCACAACCCAAUUUCGACCCUAAUUGGACAUAGUGGUUUCAGGACUACAAAUCCGAGUCUGAAAAAUAUUUUAAUAUUAUUUUAUGUGUUAGUUAUAUGUGAAAUUAUAUGUGUGAAAGUUUCGUGAAAUAAUUUUACUGUUUGAGUGCUUAAUUUGAGAAAAUAGCUUAAUCGUGUAAAAUGAAAAUUUAGGGGUUAAAUCUAAAAGCACCUAAUUGUUGUUAUCUUUUUAAAUGGGAGGUUUAAAGAUACAAAAAGACCAAAAUUCAAGAUAGUGGUUGGCAAUGGACAACUUGAUCCUUAUGUUAUAUGAAAUAUAAAUUAUUUAUUUAAAGGUUAAAAAGGGAAACUAAUAAUACCUUAAUAUAUGUUAAUUAAAAAAAACAAAGCAAAAUUCAAUGGUUGUCAUCUUCAUUAGGCCGAAACUAGCUAGGGAGAAAACCAUUAAAACAAACUUAAGGUUCGGCAAGUUACAACCUUGAUUCAAGGUAAAUUUUGUUUCGGUUUUUUAUAAUUCUUACGUUUUUGAGAUCAUUGCUUUAUGUACUACAAGACCCAUGCUUUAAUUUUAGAAUUUGAUGGUAAUUUUGAGAUAUUCCAUUGAUGAAUGUUUGAUCUUUUUGAUAGUUGAUGAUGAAAUAUGAAAGAUAUGUGAAAGAUUAACAUGUUUUGUCUUUGAAUUUUUGGUGAAAUGGAGUAAUUAGGGCUAAAUUGUGAAAAUAAAUUUUUGAGGGACUAAAAUGUGAAAUAAAUGAAAUGUGUGGACUUGUAUGAACACUAGGAACAUUCUGCCCUAGCAUGGUGUGUUUAAAUUUUGUGUAUUUUGUGUUUUGUGCAAAAAGAACUAAAUUGCAAAAAAGUGUAAAAUAUCAGGGGCAAAAUGGUAAUUUUCCCAUUUAUGAAUUUUUGGAUUUAAUUGAAUGAUUUGAUGAAUGAAAAGGCUAAAUUUGAAUAUUUUUAGAUCAAGAAACGAAGAAAACAAAAUUAGAUCGGGGAAAAACGAAAGUAGUCGAGUAGUCGAUCGUGUCCGUCGAUAUCCGAGGUAAGUCAAUUAGCAAUUAAAUGUUAUCUAAAUUGAAUAUAUAUAUUUAUCAUACAUAUGAUAAGCUGGAACUUAAAAUAUGUAAAUUGAAUAAAACUUUGUAAUUUUCCUAUUUGAUAGUCGAAUAUAGAAUUGAUCUUCGUAGGUUGAUUUUAAUGAUACAAAUUACAUGUAUGUUAGCUAAAGUAUGAUUUAAGUUUAAUGAUAUGAAAUUAAUAGUAGAAAAUAUAUAUAUAGACAUGUAAUUCGAAUGUAAGGCUUAAUUUCUUUGGGUUGAAUUUAAAGUUAUGAGUUAUAAAUAUAUGGUUCGAAAGUAUAUUACAAGUUCUUGAGCUAAAAUUUAAUAUUAUGAAUUACAUAUAUUUAUAUGCAUGUGGCUCGAACAUACAUAUAUACAUAUAUUCAAGUUCUUGAGUUGGAGAAUUGAUGUAUGAAUUUUAUAUACAUAAGGAGGUUCGAACAUAGGUUACAAAAUACUUUGAGCUGAAGUUAAUGUUUUUGAGUUAUAUCUAUAUGGUUCGAAUGCAUGUUUACUAUGAAGAAUCGAAUAUAAUUUAAUGUUGUGGAUAUACGGUUAUUGAGUAAAACUUAUGUAAAUAUAAAGAACUAUACGAAAGAAUCAUCUUUAUAUCUGAGAUUUUCAGGCUUGUGCUUAGUAGGCUUAAUGCCGGUGAAAUCUUCUAGACUAUACGUCUAGCAGGCUUAAUGCCGGUGUACUGGAUCAGGCUUCAAGCCUAGCAGGCUAUGUGACGGUGAAUUUGUUCAAAACAUGUGUUUAGAAAGUUCUUGUCAAUGUAAUAUUAAAUGCAGUUGGACAUGUGAAUGAAUUUUAUCUGCAGGUAUGUGUUAGUUAAAUUUUAUCUAUGCUAUUGACUUACUAAGCUCUCAAUGGCUUACUGUAUGUGUUUGUGUCUAUUUAUUUUUGUCUUAUAGAUUUUGAGGUUGUUACGAGCUCGGGGAUCGUCAGUAAAGCUUAUCAUACUAUCGACAAAUAACGGUAUCUUAAGUUGAAAUUUCUUUUGAGACUAUGGCAUGUAUAGACUAGCAUUCAAAUUGUUUAUUUUGAAAGUAUAUAUGUAUUAAAGCCGUGCGAAUAUGGCUUACUUAGCUUGUCUUGCUUGGUUUGGUUCGAAUUAAAGAUUAUGCAUAGUUUAGUUGUGGUUUGGCAUUAUAUGAAUUAUGUCAUAUAAAUGAAUGUUAUGUGCAGUUGUUUGAUUUAGUUAUAAGCUGAAUAUAUAUAACAUGUUUAUAGAUGGAAGUGUGCAUUGUUUUAGAAUUGAGUUUGGUUAUGAAUAUGCUAAUGAAAAGCUAAACUCGUGAGUAGAGGUGCUCAUGGGCCGGGCCGGGCCCAGGAAAAAAUUUCGGCCCGGGCUCGGCCCUGCCCGACCCGAAAUAUGGGCCUAGAAUUUUGUCCAGGCCCGGCCCGGGAAAAAAUUCAUAAGCCCGGGCCCGGCCCGGCCCGGUCCGUUUUUAAAUAAAUACCAAAAAUUUAUUUUAAAAUUAAAACAAAAAUUAAAAAAAAGUAUUUUAAAAAUAUUUUAAAAUUUAAAAAAAUUAAAAAAUUAAAAAAAAAGUAUUUUAAAAUUAAAAAAAUUAAAAAUAUUUAUUAUAUUCGGGCCGGGCCAGGCCGGGGCCGAGGCCCGGUCCGUUUUUUAAUCAGGCCUCAUUUUUUUGCCCAAGUCCAUAUUUCGGGCCUAUAUUUUUACCCAAGCCCGACGGCCCGCCCGGCCCAUGAGCACCUCUACUCGUGAGGUUGGAUUUUAUAUGAAAGUAUAUAUGUAUAAAAUGGGAUAAGGUAAUGAAAUGAAAACUUUUGUAAGUGAUUUAAAUAUAGAUAAUUAUGUGUAUGCAUAUGCGGUUUUGGCAUAUAUAUAUAUAUUUGAUAAGUAAAGUUUGGCUUUGUGGUUUAUGACAUUUUGGACUAAGAUGAUGUUUGACUAUGUAUGUUCGGUUUGGUUAUAGUUUAAUGUUAAGUAUAAUGUUUCAUAUUUUAAUUGAGCAACCGUUUGAUAUAUAUAUAUAUAUAUAUAUAUAUAUAUUCGAAUACAUCUAGAUCAAUUAAAUUUAGUUGAGUUAAUAAGUAAUGCAACCUUGUUUUAAUAGAAAUGGUUCAGUAUGUGCAUUUAGCAUUUAAAUAUUAAAUGUGAUCAGAACAUUUUGUGUAUUGCAUUAUAAGAUUAAAUUUAUAAGCCGUACUUGUAUUAUUUUUUGAAUUCGACAAAUAUAGAAUAUGUUUUAUUGUUUAUAUGCAAGAUGUUUAAAUAAAUGUAUACAAAUUUAUUUAUUUAAAACUGUUUGUAAAUUAUGAUUUUGUAUUUAAUUGUGUUCAAUUAUGUUAUGUUUGGUAAUGUCUCGUAACCCUAAUCAGGCGACGGAUAGGGGUUAUGGGUGUUACAAUAGUAACAUAAUUCAGAUACUCAAUUAUCCACCCAAAACAGGCCAUAAUGCUCAAAUGAUGUUAAACCAACCAAGAACACGCCUAGGCACUGAGUGCCAAGUCUGAAGGCUAACAUCACUCUAGAAACACGCCUGGACACUAAGUGCCAAGCCCGAAAGCUACACAUCCUCCCCUAGAAACACGUCUGAAUCACUGUAAAUAUAACUCGGUAAUCCGCAAAAAAUGCUGGAUACCGAUACAUUCAAUAAACAUAUAAACAUAUCAUCUGUCAUCAUCUCAUCUCACAUUAAACUCAUACAACGCGUGAUAUAACCCUAUUGGCAUACCAAUCGUAUCUUAAUUGUUUACUACAUUCAAAUGGGCAUUUAAACAUGACUUGUAAUAUUUAUAAAUUAGGGGCACUUCCAUGUUCUCAGUACACAUGCUAUAAACAAGUCACAUUAAUUCUGAAUCCACAUGAAUCAUGUUUCACCUGUAUUCAACAUUUCUCAAUUAAGUCCUUACUCAACUUAACAUUAGUUUAUAACAUUUCAAUUCCAAUUCACAAUAUUAAUAACAAAUAUAUUCGUAAUUCAACAGCAGCAAUAUAUGUAUAAUAAGUUGAUUUAUAGGGACUAUUAUACAAUUUUCACUUUUUUCCUAAUUUUCCUCCGUAGGAUUGAAUCCUUAAUCAUACAAAUGAAAGAAAGCUUGGACGAAAACCCUUAAACUUGGCAAUGGAGUAUUCGGUGUUUGAGAAGAAAAAAAUAAGGAUGAAGGUGGUCUCUUUUGUUGUAUUCAUUUUGAUUUAUUAUUACUUCACUUAAUAUAGGUGUAAUUGCACUGUUAAACCUUGAUAAUUAGUUUAAUAAGCCUUAACUCAUUAAAAAAUUCAAUAGUGAUAUUAUUUUAUAAUUUUUACGAUUUAAUCUUUUUUUCUUAAUUAAUUAUCAAAUCAUCAAAAUUUUCUUACCAAACUUCAAUCCACUUAUAUAAUAGCUCCGUAAAUAUUUAAUAAUAAUAUUUAUAAGCUCAAUUUAUGAAUUUUGGUAUGAGCCACGUGUAUCUCAAUUAACUGACCAAUUAAUAAAAUCUAUUAAAUCACGAUUCACUAUUAUACUAUAUUUAACUCAUAAAUAUUAAUUAAAUAUAACUACGAAACCACUAAAAAACGAAUUGUUAUAAUUUUCUCUUUUAUUUUUCAAUAUUAAUCUUAAUUGAAUUGCUAAAUACUGUAUUGUGAUUUGCCGCUUAUAAGAUUGUAUUAUCGCCAACUAUUAAAAUAUUGAAAGUCUAUAUGGUCAUGGAGUAAACAGAAUAGAUGAGCUGAUCCCAGUAGAAUAUUUAGUAAUUCCAUUAAUAUUAACAUUGGAAGGCUAUAUGGUUAUGGAUUAAAAAGAAAAAGAAAUCUGCCUCAACAUGGAUUUGCAAAUACAAAAUUUAGAUCUCUACUAUCAACAAUCAAUUCUAUACUGUAGUGUUAGAUGAAUUGUAAUUUUGGGUUUUUUAAAUUAAUGACAUCAAUUUUUUUUUAUAUAACAUUAAAGAAAAAGAAGAGUAUCCUGCUUUUUAUUUGAUUUUAUGGUUAAAUAAAAAAUAUAAAAAUAUAUAAUUAUUUCCUUAUUUUCAUGGUUGGUACUCCAUAUAACUCCAAUCAUCUUCAUACUUUUAAGCUCUUCAUUUUCUUAUUUUCUGUAAUUUUCUAUAAUUUUUAUAUUUUUAUUAUUUUCUAUAACUUAUUGAUUGUGUUCUAUAUUUUUUAUUUUUUUCUAUAAUUUUAUAAUACUUUUCAUAACAUAUUUAUUUUAUUUUAUACUAUUUAUUUUAGAUUUUUAUAAUAUUUUAAUAAUUUUACACUCGAAUAAUAAAAAAUUAAUGAAGUCCAGAAAAAUAAUUAAAAAACAAUUAAACUCUACACAUCAAUAUUUUUUCAUGUUCAUACAUCAAAUCAGCACUUAAUUGUUAUAUUAUCCACUUAGUCCGCAUUUAACCGUUGUUAAAAGCUUCAAUUGAGAAUUAUAUUUUAAGGGCUCAAUUGGUUACUAACUUUAUAUUAAGUGCUCACAAUUUUCCAUUAAAAACUUGAUUGAUUUUUAAUUAUUUUAGAAAAAAAAAAUUAAUUAUUUAAGCGUAACAACUUUUUAGUUUUUAAUUACUAACAACUAAAAUAAUAUCAAAAUUCUAGAUUUAAUUUGUUAGUAGAAGCAAAGCAGUCCUGUUUCCAAGUGACCAAAACUUCUUUCCUCGCGAUGAGGAAAAACAGAUGGGUUAAUGUACAUAUAGAUUUUGGUGUUAAAAAUAUAUUUAUUUGUUCACCAUCUUCAUCUACAAUGCUCUUAACACUCUUUUCCAUUCCGUUUCCUUGUAUACAAGGCCUCAACCAAUAAUUCCACACGGUUCCGGCUUCACGACAAUUCUUGCUUACCAUAAACAAAUUUGCAUUAACAAAACAAUAUUUUUCAAAGUGAAUUUGUAGUUGGAAUUCUUGCCUUGUGAGGGCUAUUCACAUGCUUAAUCCCAUGGUGAUCAAGCUUUGUUUGUAGCUGUUGGGGUGUCCUUGCCGAUGAGUCCUUUGUUACAUGGAGUCGAUCUAAUGAUGCUAGAACAUCAAUCAUGCACGGUCUGUUCUUCGGAUCCUUAUGCAAGCACUGCAAUGCGAGUGCAGCCGCAGCUUGUGCUCCUUUCUUUGAGUACUGGCCUCCUAACCUCGUGUCCAUUAUCCGUAGUACUUUCCUGUUGUCACUUAGGAAUGGUUUUGCCCAUUCUACUAGUGUUUCUUCCGAAAACCCAAAAUUCUCAUCGUCCAUUGCUCGCCGUCCUGAAAGUAGCUCUAAUAGUACAACACCGAAGCUAUACACAUCACUCUUUGGGGUCAAAUGACCUGCAUGCAAGGUUUAAACUGGUUCGUUAGUAGGAUCAAUAACCCUUAAUUGAAAUCCACUUAAAGCAAAAAAAAAAUGCAGUGACAAAACAGAAGGAUCAUUACAUAUCAAUAUACCAAAGGUGUUUCUCCCAAUAUCAGCUGCUCUUUUAAGAGCACUAAUUUCAAACCUGAACACUCCUGAGAAAACUAAAUUUACAAACCUAGUUUGUCUUCGCUAUCAACGGAGUCUUGCAUCUUAACCAUUCUAUGUUAUUCCAACCCUUCCUUUUUUGUGUGUGCAACUGGAUGAACUGCUAAGCCACUAACAAUCUAGAUGUCCUUGGCCUAGAACUCCAAAGAAAUAUUCCUGUAAAAGAAUUCCGCAAGCAUGGUGGUGGUUCGAGCACCACAGCAUUGCUACAGAGCAAUUUCCAAGCCGUUAACGAUGCGACAAACUAAUUGCUGGUAUGAUCAUGCUAAGCAUAUUAUGUUCAAUUCUAGGCCUCUUGUACAUGUCAUAUACAGGGGAAGUAGUGGAGAGAGACCUAAUGGCUCGGCACAAAAAUGUUUUUUUCCGGAAUUUGCCAAAAGGUCCUCAGGAAUGCAGGAGAUCGUACUGGAGGCAAAAUGUGUGUAGGCUUGACAAUUUCAAGAUUUUGUUUUCAAACCUUAGUUCAUUUACUAUAAUCAAAGCCACACGAUACAACUUCAGUUGAUUCAUUCAGUUUAUUAGUAUUUUAUGGCUAUAGGCAAAUGGAGAAGAAUCUCAAGCUCGAACGGACAUUGAACAUGCUCCUACACUCAUGCUCAGCAUAGACUAAUAGCAGCCUCUCAAGAUUAGUAUGCUGAAGUUAUGGUUGUAAUCUAUGAUAACCGAACUCACCAUUUAUGGCCACCGUACCGGUGCCAACACGACAUUGCUACAGAAAGUUCAACUACAACUGCAUUUGGAAGAAGGGAUGGAAUUUGAGAAAGAAGGAAAAAGAAUCCGCUUAGCUGGAGAAAAAUGGAAAACAGGACAACUUCCAUCCUUAGGCUGUUGCAUUUGCAAUCCAAACAACUAGCGUAUAUGUAAUGUAACAUAAGUUAACUGUAGUGUAAAAUCUCAUCUAUCUCUAUUUCUUUUUCUUUCCUUGACUUCUUUUUUUUUUUUUUUUGAAUCACAUUAAUAAGAAGAAAGGUAUAAGAUACCAAAAUAAUCCCUCUAUGUUGCUCCCAUUCUUCAUUUUCUUGAACCAUCCAUGAGCAACACGUAUUCAGACAUGAGUUUGGGGAUAUAACUCUCCAAAAAUCCUCCAGAUACAGGGAAAACUGAAAAUUAUUUUAACAUACCCAUGCCAAACAUAUACUCUUACCAACAUACACCCGAAUCUGAGUAAUAAUUUUCUCUACUCAUUAUCAUACUCGGUUUUAACUGCACUAUUUGAAGGAAAGGUGAUGAACACACCUGUGGCAACAUAUUCUGGGGCUGCAUAACCUUGAGUUCCAACAACUCUGGUCGAAACAUGGGUGUUAUCACCAGUUGGACCAUCUCUUGCCAACCCAAAAUCUGAAAGCUUUGCAUUGUAAUCCUACAUAAGUUUAUAGGCAACAGCAUCAGUCAUUAAAUCAAAUGGGGAUGUUCAAUAUAACAUCUCUGCCGUACAACUCAAUCAAAAGUGACAAUGUUUGAUAUGUCAGCAUUACCGAAUCUAGAAGAAUGUUGGAAGCCUUUAAAUCACGGAAGAUUACAUUAGCAUCUAGACUAUGUAAAAAGGUCAAUCCCUGUGCAACCUGUCUGGCAAUAUGCAUCCGUGUAGCCCAAGAAAUUGGUUGAACACCCUCUGAAAGAAGAAAACAAUAAUGGUUUUAGUGUUAGUACGUUUCUCUGACUCUUCAUUUUUCUAUAAGUACCUAUAUCCGAUAUAUAUUUUUCGGACAUGAGAAAAAAGAAACACGAAAGCACUCAAACCCAAGUUCGAGUAAUAUAGCCAGAUCCUAUCUUGAUUAACCAUUCAGACUAAUGAAACAGAAACAUUAAAAAUGACUCGUAUAUGCAAAAACUGUCACCAUCCUAAGAGUCAUGCAACUCCAGCUGCCCUGCAUGCCAAUAGGAGACAACUAGGUUCAUACAAUAUGGUUUAAACUCACACAUUGACAAGCCAUUGAUACAUGGUAUAUGCUUUAACAUAAUGAGAAGAAGAUCAAUGUAAAAAAGAGUGAGAGAGAAGCGUACUUUUAAAUAAAUGAUUCUCCAAACUUCCCUUUGGCAUAAACUCAUAAACCAAAAGUCUAUUCUCAAACUCCACGCAAUAACCAAUGAGUUUCACAAGAUUUUCAUGGCGAAGCUGACCCAAAUAGUUAACUUCCGCCUACAAAAUGUUGAUCGGCAAUCAGGCUACAAAUAUGAACUCGCAAAAUUUGAAAAAAGAAAAACUAAACUUAUAAGCAAAAGCUUUACGUACAAGCCAUUCCUUGUGCCCUUGGAAGCUUUCUAACUUGAGUUUCUUGAUAGCUACAACAAUUCCGGUUCCCGGCUUGGUAGGCGCAAACGUGUUCUCAUCAAUCCAACCUUUAAAAACACAUCCAAACCCUCCCUCUCCGAGAAGUGUUUCGGACCGGAAGUUUUUGGUGGCAUUUUUAAGAUCACUAAAACUGAAAGACUUCAGACUGCUGGAAACAGAUGUAUCAGCUUUGAGGUUGCUGGAAACAGGUGUGUGAGGUUUAGAUGCUACAAAUGGUUUGUUCGAAGUUUCCAUAGGCGAUUUCUGGGUUGAAGAAGUUGAUUCCUGCUUUGUGUUACUAUGAGUCUUUGCACUACCUUAAACAACAAAAAGCAGAAUUUAUUUACUGACUUCUAAACCAUAUCAAAAUAAUACAAAUUCAUUCUUGCCACUGGUCUAAUAACCCAUACACACACAUAUCCAAGGAAAAAGAAAGCCAGAAACUGACUGUUACUAUUAUUUUGUUUGUGAUCAAUUUGAAGUUCAAACAUGCAUUUAAUUACUAAUGCAAAUUUCGGUGUUUAAUACUAACUUCACCAAAAGGAGAAGAAGAUAGUUGAUUGGAGCAUACAGGGGAACCCCUUUACAUUCAUAUCAUAUACAGAAAUUGAUUUAUUAUUAAAUGAACGCCCAUUCGUUUUCUCAUAGCCAGACUUCAAAAUACCUCCGCUAAACCAAACUAUUCUGUUGAUUCCAUCCAUAAGUUGCAUUUGAUUAAUCCAUUACAUAGCAAUACAAGAACUCAAACCCAGACAAUAUAUAUAUAUAUGUGCGUGCGUGUGUGUGUGUGUGUGUGUCUGAAAAGCUUAUAUUUAGACCCAAAAAAUAAAUAAAAUGAAGCAAAAAGAAAAGUGAGACUGACCUGAGAAAUUCGAGGAAGAAGCAUGAGCACACUUUGCUGGUUUAGGCCAGCAAAUACCCAUGACGGAAGAUCAAACAAUAAGGCUGAAAUGGUCAAAGCAUAUGGAGGAAGAAGAAGAAGAAUUCUUGACGAAACGAUAACCCAUUUAAGGGGACGUAGAAGAAAUAUACUACAAGAAGAUAACAACCCAAAGUCCAUUCCAUUUAAAGAGGUAUUGAAAACCCAAAGAAAAAAACAAAAGGGGGAGAAGGGUUGAAGGAGCAGGCAGCAAAGCAUGAAGAAAACACGCAAGAGAGGCGCAUAAUUAGUCAAUGGAAGGUGCCUGCCUAGUUUCAACAUGGAAAUGUCUACGUCUCUUUUAAAUGGUUCAAUUACUUUGAAAAUUCUUAAUCAAAUUCUAUGUUUCCUGGCCCCCGCAUUACGAAUUUGCAGUCCCCACAAAGGAAGAAAUUGCAGUCGAAUAUUGCCAUUUACAUCAUGCCUAUGCUCUGCAACUCUGACCGUUGAAUGCCAUACUCUUUAAAUUCUUGGCGCUUUCCUUUGUUUGCAUUGCAUUAGUAGGGGUCAAAUUUUUUAAUGUAUUAUAAUACAUUCAUUUUGGUCCCCUAUUUUUCCAAAAGGUGCGCUCUCAAUUCUGGAGCUAAUUUUUUCUCGGUUGAUUCUGUCAAUAAUUUGAAAUAACUUAUGAUAUAAUCAAUUUGACUUUUUUUACAUUUAAAAAAUACAAAAAAAUUCAACUUACAAAAGUGUACACACCAUAUCAUCACAUGUUUUAAAAACCUAAAUAAGAUACCAUUAAAUUAUUGACAAAAUUAACGACAUCCAAACUACAAUUACACAAUUAAAAAAAAUAAAAGAAUAAAAAUGAUAAAUUAUAUUAAAGGACUAAAACUGCAAAAAAUUAUGUAAUACAUAAACCUUCUACGUAUAGUUUUUAUUUUUUGGGUCGAUGACCUUCUAUACAAUGUCGAUAGUUCUGUUUAUAACAUAGGCUAGUAUUUGUACAAAUUUGAAAUUCCCGUUUUAAGAUUAAAUUAACUUUAUGUUAUUAUUAUUUUUAAUUAAAUUCAAAAAAAGUUAAUCUUAAUUCACAAAAUAGUAAUUGGUCUAAUUCAAAAUAAGAACCCGUAAGAGAGCAUUACCCCUUUCGUUCAUUUGCCUUCAAUUUGAAGGAGUUUUCACUCAUUUAUGUAACAUUUUUCUUCAUUGUAGAUAUACACGUUAUGUUAGUAAGUCUCUCUUAUUAGACACAAGUCCAAUGUGAGCGUUAAGCAGCUUUAUGUUGGCUAUGAGCGUUUGGUAUUACCUGUGCCAAUGACUACUGUCCAUGUUGAGUAAGAAUCUUGUUCUUGCAGCAGAAGCAACAAGGAUAGGCAUUGUUAUCAACAACCCACCACAGCAUUCUUUCAGUUUGGCAAGUGCCAUCCAAAUAGUGUCAUCACUGUUGAACACUUUGUGGUUUUGAGUAUGAAAGUAGGGGUGAGGAAGUCAUUGCGUCUCUUCCAACUGAAUAAAGCAUAAUAGGGGUCCUUUUUGCCAUUAGUCAUAUUGAGGGCUGCAUCAAUAGCAUCAAUGAGGUUUCUCUGUUAUGAGGGCUACCACAUUGUCUUUCAAAUUGAAAGCUUUUUUCACAAAGGUUUAUCAUCUCGGAUUUGGUCUCUCCCCAUGAAAAGAACUUUGUUCCUCUAUGUUGUUGUAUUAAGUGGGAGAAGAAGGUUGAAGGCAAUUCACACAAAGGAGUGCGGAGAGCCGCUGAAUCUUGGAUAUAGGGGAAAGGAGUCAACCAGUAAUGUGUGAGGCAGAAAAGGUCAGAUUCCAUGUCCCAUGCACGAGUCUUUACAUCUUUUAUAUACAAGUCUUUCUCAUGGUUUUUGUGUUGCCAAUUGUCCUCUAAUUGGUAGAUUUGAUGAGCCACGAUGACGAUUAGACACGUGGCUUUAAUGACUUAUGGAUGGUCAUGUCUAUAUAAGUCAACUUGAGUAAAUGGUGAUGGGACCAAACGAAGCCCACAUGGCACAAGGUUGGCGAAGUAUGUUGAUUACAUAGUGCGAAACGUAACUAUUUAGCAAUGUAUAGCUAGCACAAAGGGGCAUUUGUGAUGGGUGAAAGUAUGCCUCAUACAAGAUAUGCUUCUGGCAAGGUAUAACAUUCUGUAUCCAUAUACUCCAUAGCACACGAGCCAAUCUCCAAGAAAGCCAACAAUUUUGAUAUUGUAUAUGGUUUCUUUUCAUAAUCUAUGAUUUGAUUCACUCUUGUAUAUACGAAGGUUGGAUCCCAUAUGUUUUUAUACCUACAUUUGAAAGGAACCAAAUAGUUUAGGCUAAGUUGCACUGGAGGAAAAGAUGGUUGUAGGACUUAUAACCAUUCUCACCAACUAAUAUCAUAAGUUAGGAGACCGUUCAUAUAGAUUUUCCAAAAGAAAAUGACCAUCUUGAAGGUGCCUUAAGUAAACAAACUUUUUACUGGAAGGAGCAAGGCCAUCAUUAGCCUAAAAUGGGAUAUUGGUUAUUGAUAUUGUUAAUAAUAAUAAUAACUAAAAAGCUAAUUUAAUAAAGAAAUCACCAAUGGCAUUGAGUUUCCAAACAAUCUUAUCUUAUCUAACAAAUAAGAUGAUAGUUUUUUUCUUAAGAAUAUGAUAGGUUCCUUGAUCCAGGAGAUUGCUUGCAGUGCUUUAGUCCCAAGUUAUACUUCAGUGAUCACUAAGUUGUUAGAAAAAAUUCGAUUUGAAAAUAAUUUUCUUGCACAACAAAAAAAUAAAAAAUUUUGAAAACCGACCCGUUUUGAGAUAUUUAUAGCAAUAAACCCUAAACCGAAACCAUACAUGUGUUUCAGAUAGGCGGAUCCUUGUCGUACCUUCACCGCUAUUCUUGUACCAUAAACUGCUUCGGGUAUGGACUCGAACCAAUUGAAUUAAAUCAUAUAACUAGAAAUUCUUUUCUUUUAUAUAGAAAGAAAAAUUCUCUUAUCAAAUAGAAAUCAGUAGAAUUAUUAUUCCAAAAAAUUAUACUCUCUCUAUCUUUCAGCAGAGUAGCAAUAUCUUAAAGUUGUUUAAAUAGUUCUACCGGUGUCAUCUAUUUAUAGGGAGAGAAAGUAGAACCCUCAUUGAAUCAAAGAAGUUUACUUCAACUAGAGAAACGAACUCUUUUUCUAAUUAGGAGUAUAGGUGGUGGCAACCCUAAUUAAUAUUAACUAGGGCUAGUCAUUCACCCUAUUAACAUAAUGGGCUUUUGGGCCUCUUCCAUAUCGGGUCUAAUUAUAAGUACUUUUCAAGCAUUUAACCCAAUAUUUUAUAAUUUGAUUCAACCCUGUUACAGGCCAUUUUGCCCGAGGCCCAAUUAAACACAAAAAUAAAGGUCCAAAUUACAGUCCAUAAAGUCCAAAACAACAAGCUCAGAACCACUAGCCCAAUAACCCAAUAGCCUACCCUUAGCCCAAUAACCCAAUAGCCUACCCUCAGCCCAAAACCCAAAAACAAAAAAAACCUAGCAGAAAACAGAGGAGCCCUAGGCGCCGCUCCUAGGGUCUUCUGACCUUCGGUCUUCUGCUCACCUGCUCUGCCAGCAACCACCGCCAACUGCCACCGUCACCUCCAUCCACGUGCGUUGAUCCCUGUAAAUAAAUCAAAGCAAGCAAGACAGACAGGCAUAGACUAGGAAUUGGCUAUAAAAGCCGAAACUAAGAUACAUGUAAGGGGUUCUGACUCCUUUUUUUUAAAGAAAAAGAUCAAAGAAAAUAAAGGAAAAUCAGUUGAAAGGUGAAAUUUUUUUAGCUUUCUUUUUUUUUUCCUUCGAUUCCAUUCGGCUUUGCCUUCCUUUUCUUUUAUGUUUAAUAUAAGCUUAAAGGUUAAUAAACGAAACUUACCUGAAUCGUCGCGGUUGUAGCGUCGCCGGAGUCCGAGUCGUUGAGAACGGACGAGGAAGGCGUUUCAUUUUUUUGAGAUUCCCUCUCUCGGCCUUAGGGCUUUAAGGACUCGAUUUUUGGAAGGGUUUUCGAAACGGGAUUUUAAAAGGCUAACUUUUCGACUUCCGACCGCCGCUCACGGCGGCGCCGGCGCCGAUAAUCGGCGACCGGCACGGUGGUCCGCAACCGGACCCUUGGCCGGCGCUCAGAGAGAGGAGAAGGCUCUCUCUCUAUUUUAAAAUGGUUAAAACUGAUGGAUGUUAAGUUUUUUUUAUAUUUAUAGUAAAUACCAAACGGCACCGUUUUGAUAGGGUCAGGACAGCCCCAAAACGGCGUCGUUUUGGGCUCCUGACCCGAGACCCGACCCGUACCGCCUGGGAUCCGCGUGUUUUUGGACCAGAGGGGUUAUUUUCACCCUCAGUCCUUCCGCUUUUGAGGCCGCACAAUUGGGUCCUAUUCCCUUUUAUUAUUUGUUUUAAUUUUGCCCUAAAUUUUCAUUUUUCUUGCGAUUUGGUCCAUCGACCGUCCGCUCAGGCUUUGUCAGAACGACGUCGUUUGGACCACGUGGGAAUAUUUUCCGUUUUGACCCUCCAUCCUUUCGCGCGAGUCACAUUUUGGUCCUUUUCGUCCUUUGUCAUUCCAAAUUCGCCCAGUAUUUUCUUUUUUAUUUCAAUUUAGCCCCCCUUUUUUAGCCACUUUAUUAUUUUGUUUAUUCUAUUAUUAUUAUUAUUAUUAUUAUUAUUACUUAUUUGUUUGUGUUUAUUUUAUUUAGAUUUUUGGCACAUAUACAUAUACAUGCAUAUGUUUUUGUGAUAUACGUACAUUGUUUUUUGUAACAUAUAUACUUAUAUAGUUUAUAUAGUUUCAACUUAUGUAUAUAUCUAUACAUUUAUAUAUUUUCAUUUUCCUAAAUAUAUACAUAUUUAUACAUAAUCUUUAUAGUUUAAAAUAUACCCCCUUUUUUUAAAAAAAAACCGUAUAUACACACAUGUUGCUAAUAAUUUAUAUAGAUACAUAUCCUUUUUAUUUUAUAAGUACAUAUAUUUUAUAUGUACGUACAUAUAUUUUUUUUGUAUAUCUUAUUUUACAUAAAUAUAUGUAUACAUUUUCAAUAUAUUUUAACAUGUACUAAAUUAACGUAUUUAUUCGUAUACAUAUGUAUAUUUUCAUUAUUUUUAAACUUUAAUUUGUAUAUACAUACUUUCUCUUAUUUUUCAACACAUAUAUAUGUACUUACUUUCAUAUGUAUUUUAUUAUUUUUGUAUUCCAUAUUUUUAUACACCCAUAUAUAUGUACAUAUUUUUAUAUAUAUACAUAUUUAUCGUUUCUUUUAUAUAUUAAAAUACUUUAUACAUUUUGCUAAUUUAUAUAUAUAUACAUAUUUUAGUUUAUGCCUAUAUACAUAUCUUUUUAUAUUUAAUUGUAUUUGUUACUUAUUUAUUUCAUUCUCGUUAUUAUUUUGAAUGAAUGUUUUAAUUUAUUUGUUUAUGUAUAUUGUUAUUUUAUAUGAUUGUAGAUAUGAUUUUUAUUCAUUUUAUAUCGUUGCUAUUGCUCGUACUAUUUUUAUUUUUUAUGUGUAUUAUGAUUUUACCACGUAUGACAACAAUGUAAUUUGUUUUCACAUUUUCCUUUACUACGAUUUUCGUGUUAUAUUUUAUUCGGUACAACAAAAUUUGUUUUAACAAAGUAUUUCGUGUUUAGAUUCGAAAGGAUCGUACUCUAACUUACUGAGUUUCGAUUUUCAUAAUAAAUCUAAAUACACGAAUCUUUUCAAACUCAAGUUUUUUAAAACGAUCUUGGGAAUUAAGAAAAGAUCGUGCCCUAACUUACUGGGCCUGAUUUAUUUCUAAAACCAAGAUAAUAAAAUAUCUUUUAAAUAAGCAUUUUUCAUCCGCGUAUCGGGAAUUUGAGACAUUGUGUCCUAACUUACUGGAUAUGAUUCUCUUUCUCGAAUAAUGUGAAAUAUUCCCUUUUCCUGAAAAUUUUCAACGUUUUAAUACAAGGAUCGUGUUUUUAAAAUUCUUCAAGGUUCUCAAUUUUUGACAUUAAGACAUUAAGUAAUCAACUAGGUACCAAUUUUGGGCGUAUCGAGGGUGCUAAUCCUUCCUCGUGCGUAACCUACUCCCGAACCCGUUUUUGAAUUUCGUGGACCAAACUUGUUGUUUUAAUAAAACUAAAUCAUUUAUUAAAAACAACCACAUUUUGAGGUGACCCGAUCACACCUCGUCAAAAAAGAUUGGUGGCGACUCCCGUUUUCAUUCUUUUUUUUUAAAUCCAAGUCGACCCCGUUUCCAUCAAAAAAUGGUGUCAACAAACCCAAUAUUGUUUUUCUAUUUCCCAAAAAUAAAUUUUAAUAUUUAUAUUAAAUAAUUUUCUCAUAUCAAUUUUACCCUCAGUAAAAUUAUGACAAUUUUACCCUUGGUAAAACUUUUGAGAAAAUAUAUUUAAUGUUUCACCAUUCAACUUGGUCAAUAUGAUCAAAUGGUUUACUUUCAUUUUUGGGCUUUAAAAUAGCUCAAAAACAUAAAUUUAUUCUUCUGGUCAUUUUUUAGUAAUCCAUGUUCAUUUGCAAAUAAAUAAUUUCUCAUUUUCAAUUCAAUUUUGAGAAAAUCACAUUUAUUUUUGAAUGAUUCCAUUUCUCCAUUUUGGAAAAAUCAUAAUCAUUUCUGAAUGUUUUCCAUUUCUCUAUUUCUAUUCAUUUUGUUCAUUUUGAUUCAAACACGCAAUUCAUUUCUGGUUUUAAUGAGCUAGCAGAGGGACUGGUUGAACAUAUGCAAUUGAGGCUCAAAUGAUUUAUAAUUAAAUUCCAAUUUUUUACCUAUUAAUUAUAAACUCAUUUACUCACGAAGUCAUUCCACUAUAGUAUUGCGAUUGAGCUCUCCCCAACGACAUACCAUUACGAAAGCAACUCGAUUAGUGCUCGUCCAAUGACUUUAUCAUAAGUGUGUUACCCUCAUAGGAUAUCCUUAAUCUUUUUUGGGAUGGUAUUCGUUCUCUCAAUAUGAUCUUAUUUUAUUUCAUGGUAACUAUUACAUCUUCCUUUAUGAAAAUUCAAUUACUAUCAAAUAGUAAUCAAGUUAUUCAUCACAAAGAUGAACGACCCGUGGUCACGUUUACUUUUCAUCAACAAUGUAAUGCCAAUGAGAGGAUAUCAUUUACCCAUGUCUCGGGCUAUGAAUUCUACUAUUUUGAAUGGCGCUACAUACUGUAGAAGUCGUACCACCUUACGCACCAGCUUUUGGUUCCUUAUAUAUUCAAACUUAGGCUUUUAGUUACAUCAAAGUGUAUAAGUCACACAUACAUAAUAUGUCAUCCACUUAGGAUUUAGGUAUAUCACACUAUGAAUAUCUCAAGUGAAUAAAACCAUAAACAGAUUCAGGAUCUAUUCUUCUUGGGUCCAAUCCGAUGUACUGUCAGUCCAGUCAGUCACAUCUAUGUCUCUAUCUUCUGGGAGUCAUCCGCUCUGAUGCCCCAGACAAAACAUCUCCCCAAUUGGACUUGAUAGACGACAUAUUAGUCUUUCAAUCGAUUUGCUCAUUUCUUAUUAGACUAAGGACAUGUUUAGGUUCGUCUACUAAUAUAGUCUUUCUGUAUUACAAUCCGACUAUGUAAUAUCGCUUAAUAUUAGUUAAACAUUAGACUACCAGUGAGCAACAUUUGCUUCCAUUUUGCUUUGCGUGCAAAAACCAUGUGAGGACAAUAUACAAAGUAUUAAUGUAAUUCAUAAAUAAUCAUAUUAACUAAUCUGUUCGAAAAAUUACAAAUGUACAUUGACAAAAAUACAUACCAUUUCAACUUGUUCAACUACAAACAUUCAUCUAACCUUCUAUUACUCAUUCACAUUCAAUCAUACCAUUUCAAUUGUCACAUACAUGUAUCAAACAUGUUUACCAAAUCAUAUACAUUCAAUUAGGCACUAACUUUGCCAAAAACUUAACAUUUCAUAUAAGCAUUAACCUUACCAAAAUCAAGCAUUAUAAAGGUUGCAAGCUAACAUUUAUCAUUUCAAGUUAACUUAUUCAAACACCUAUAUACAUUCUACAAAAUCGAACUUAAAAUGAUCGAAAAGCUACCAAUUCAAAAACAGGAUAGUGCGAGCUUCUGGACGAUUUGCUAGACACGUUCCGCAAGUUGAAAUCCAUAGGAAAAGGGAAAAAAUAAUGGGGUAAGCAUAUUGAAUGCUUAGUAAGUUCAUAUGCAUUAAACAAAAACUUACCUCAUAUUACAACUAAUCAAAUAAGCUACUUAGAUUGGCAAUAUUUGCCUAAACAUGGUAUCACAUAUCAAUAAAGUGAGUUUAACAUAUAGUCACAUCAAAUGGUAAUUCAAACAUAUAUCAUUUCAAUCCACUAAAAUCAACUUUUCAAUACUACAUUCAUAAUCAAUUCAACAUUUAACUAUUUGAACAUCAAAUUCAUAUCAUACACAAAUAUCCUAUUAUACCAAUUACCCGAGCUGAAUAUAUAUAUACAUGUCAAGUUACUCAUCCGAGCUAAACCUUUAAAUUGACAUCAGGUUACCAGUCCAGGCUAAACUUGUGUCACAAGUAUCUUCGAUACAUCAAUUGCUCGUCCAAGCUGACCAAGCAAUCAAAUGUGUCAUUAAAGGUUCAAUUUCCGACGUCAAGUUACCAUUCCAGGCUAAACUUGUGCCACAUGUAUCUUCAAGUCCGCGAAAAAUGUUAGAUUUUGGUAAUCAUCGGUAAUCAAUUCAUACAAGUGUGCACAAAACCUUUACCAAGUUCACCCAAACAUUUUCAACACACACACAUAUAUAUAAAUACAUUUCUUUACAAUUUAGUCCCAAUCUCACCUUUUAUACCAAAUCACAAAUAAUCCAAAUUUCAACCAAACAUACACAUAUUCAUAAUUAAAAUACACAAAAAUUUAAACAUAUUCAUACCAUAUGAAUUUACCUGGUCAAAUUAGCCAACAAGUUGAAUUUGCAAGGACUAAUCGAUAAAUUUGACUUUUCCCCGAUUAUCUCCAAUUUGGUUCAAUUUCCGAUCAAUACAAUUAUUCAAUUCAAUUUAUCAAUAUCAAACACUUUUAUAUCAUCUCAUACUAGGCAUGAACUAGUUUAAUUUCAUUUUUUGAAUAAUCCUAAAGUUUUGCAUUUUAUUCAAUUUAGUCUUUAAAAUCGAAAUAGUCAUAACUUUCAAUUUUGAGCUUUGAUUUUGAAAUCGAUCCCAACCAUAUCCUUCUAUGACCCUCUAAUAUCUAUUAUUAUAGAAAUUUCAAAUCAAUUUCGUAAUUUAUACACUCUAGUCCUUAAGUUCAAAAACUAAUAACUAAACAUUACAAUCUAGUCAUUUUUCACAUCUAAGCUUAAAAUUUAACAAUUUAACACCAAAUUAUUCAAGAAAUCAACAAUGGAAACUUUCAAAAAAUUUAACAGUUUCACAAAUUGGUACAUGAGCUAGCUAAAUCAAGCUCUCAUGACCUCAAAAAUAUAAAAAUUACAAUAAAAUGACUAAAUUGAACUCGCCAAAUCAAGGCCGAAAGUUUGAAAGCUUCCACACCCUAUUUCUUAUUUUUACUAUAGGGGAGAAGAAGAAGAAGAUGAUGAUGAGCAGAUACUUUAUUUUUCUUUUAAUUUUGUCUUAUAUACUUUGUUUAAUUUUUAAUUAAUCAAAAUUAACUUAAUUAACUCUUAAUUAAUUAAGUCUUAAGGAUAAUUAACAAAAGUUAGUGGAUUAUGUCAUCCACCACCACCGUUUGACCAUUUAAAAAUGGUAUUUAAAAAUCUAAAGUGAUAAUUAUUUAUGAUUUAGUUCAUGUAUCUCAAUUAACUAUCAAUUCAACAAAAUUAUUGGACCAAACUUGAAUAUAUUUCUAUAUUAACCUUGUAAAUAUUAAGUAUUAAUAUUUAUGGACUUGGUUUACGUAAAUGGGGUUCCAAAACAGUCAUUUUCAACCCCAUUGAAAAUCGGACUGUUACAAUUGGUUUUCAAUUUAUCAAUGAUUUUUAAAGAAAUUCAUUAAAAAUUUUAAACAAAACUAAUAUUAUAAAAAAUAUAAAUUUAAUAUACAAAAUCGACCCGUGCAUCAUAUGGGAAUACAAACUAGUUAAUUUUCUAUUAUUCUAUUGAUAUUGAUAUAUUUAUUGAAAAUAUUACAAGAUUUCAAUAUAUGUAAUUUUAUGUGCUAAUAAAGGUUUUAAAAUUAAUUUUAAAUUGCUUCAUAAACUUUUUCCAUAUUUUCAAUCAAUACUUUAUUGUUUCAAUUUACACUUUGCGUUGUGUUAAUUAUUUGUUUGUUUCAAAUUAUAGAGUAAAAAAUUGAAGUUUACAAUAUGCUCUAAGUCCUAUACACUUCGUACAUUUCGAAUUUAGCCCUUCUACUUUUAUUUUUCAAGAAUAUAGUCUCUACUUUUCAAAUUUAAAUAAUUAGGUCUAGUUGUUACAACUAUUAAAAUUCUUCGAAUUUCUUCAUUCAAAAUCAUCAUGAUGAAAUAUUUUUUCUGCUGGAACAAUUUUCUUGAGAAAAAAUUGACGCUAGAAUUUUAUUGAAAUAGUUAACAAUAUUAGCUAUUUAGGCUAAUUAAUGACAAUAUAGAAGUAGAGAGAUCAAAUUAUGUAAAAAAUUAAAGUAUCUAGAUUAAAUCUCAAGUUUCAACAUAGUAUAAAGGCCAAAUUUAAAACUUUACCAUUAUCUUAUAAUGUAAAAAAAAAAAGACGCAAACCUAGAAAAAAUGUGAAGCCAUGUGUCAGUCUAUAAGACUCUUGGAAUAUUUAAAUUAUAUAUAAACACAUAAUGUUUUAAUCGAAAAGUUAAUGUUAUUAACUAUUUGGACUAAUAGAUAACAUUAUAAAAAUAUAGGAUCAAAUCAUGUUAGAAAUUAAGGUAUAUAGAUUAAAUUUUAAAUUUAGACAUAUUAAAAGGAUCAAAACUGAUAUUUAACCAUUUUUUGUAAAAUGCAAGAAAAUAAAGAAAGGGAAAAUGGUUGGUCUGCCACGUGUUAGCAAAAAGGUUUGUCCUUUAUCUUUUAUUAUUUUUAGAAUCAAUGUAUGUUGAAUUUGAAUCUUUGACUAUUUAAUGAAUAUAUUAAUUACUACUUUGAAUUUGAUAAAAUAAUUAUAUCUAAUUAGGCAUGUUUUGGAAAGAUAAAUUUAAAAAGUUAGUUAUGAAUUUGAAUGAUUUUAAUGAAAAGUAUUAAAUACAAAAUUAGUCAAAAGUUUUAAUUAUCAUCAUUGAUUUCAAUUUUAAUUCACAUUAAUAAAGUUUUAAUGUUUAAUUUACAAAUUCGUAUUUAAACUAUACUCUUUUUUUUAUCUUGAUGUUAAAAAUAUUUUUUUUGUCACAAGUUGUACUUAAACUACUUUUUUUUUCCUAUUAGUACCUCGGUUAGUUAAAGUCUAUUUUAAAAAAGGAUUAACCUAUAAAUUAGUACUUAAACUAUGCUAUUUUCUCAUUUUUGUAUCUAAUAUUUUUUUGGUCACAAAUGGUCUCUAUUAUCUAAACUGUUAUUUUCCCAAGUUAGUACUUUUGUUUGUUCAAUCGUUAAUCAAAUUCUCAAAAAGGAUUAACUCAUAAAUGGUACCUAAACUAUGUCAUUUUUCUCAUUUUGGUACCUAACAUUUUUUUGGUCACAAAUGAUAUCUAAACUAUUUUUUUUUCCCAAGUUUAUACCUUUGUUAGUUUAACCGUUAAUCAAACUCUUAAGUUUAUUUUAAAAAAAUAACCAAUUAAAAAUUACCAUGUAGCAAGAAAGACAAUGUAUUAUUUUCUUUAUAUAUAUUUAAGAAUAUUAAAAAUUCAUUAAAAAUAAAAAUAUUUAAAAAAAUAGAAAAAAUCAAUUCAAUUGGUUUGUAUUGGUUUGCGAGUCAAUUGGUUCAAUCCUAUCUUUGGACCAGUUUUUGGUCUAAUCGGUUAAUUUAGUUCUAAAAACACUAGUUUUGAUUCGUGAAAGAACUUUUUCAAUCCCAUCAGGUUGAUCAAGUAAGUAAUGAAGUUCAAACAUAGAAAUAAUUGUCAACGUCCCAAUCUUGAGAUUGCCAAUUUCAAGCAUUGUUCGCAUUGUCAUACAUUAUAAAGAAAAAAAAACAGAUUGAAAAAAAAUAAAGAGAGAGAAAUAAUGUAAAAAAAUUAAUUUUUAUAGUUUAUAUGAUAUGGCAAUCUAUUAUUGGUUGAAAAUUUUUUAACAAAUGGGUAAAGAAAGAAUAGUUUAGGUAUCACUUGUUACCAAAAAAUGUUUAGGUAACCAACUCGGAAAAAAGUAUUAUUUAGGUACUAAUUAAUAGGUUGAAGCUCUUUUUUUAAAUAGACUUAAUGAUUUGACUAACUAAUGUACCAACUUAAGGAAAAAAAGUAGUUUAGAUACCACUUGUAACAAAAAAAAAAAUUAGGUACCAAAUUGUGAGUUAAUCUAAAUUUCAGUUUUAAUUUCUUAAUUAUAAGUCAUACAAUUUUAUCUUGAUUAAUUUUGGCUAUGGAGAAAAACAUUUCAAUUUAGGCCAUUUUAGCAUUGCUUCUAAAAAAGCACUUUUGAAAUAAAAAUAUUACUAAAUAAGAUGUUUUUAAGAUUUUCAAAAGUGAUUUUAGGACAAAAAAAAUGUUUUACAAAAACAUCCUUUUUAACCAAAAGUAAUAGAAAUUUUUAACUUUUACUCAAAAAAAAAUACUUUUAAGAAACAAUCAUUAUCUGUAAAACUGAAAAGGCAAAUUGAUAAAUAAUCUGCCUAACAAUAUGUUAGAAAAAUUAUAUAAAAAAUAAAAAAAAGUCUCUUGCAAUUUUUCUUUCCAUAUAUUAGUAUGUAAAAUUAGCUCAGAAAAAUGACAAGACUUAAUAUAUAAGUGAUUGAUUUAACCCUUCAAUUUGUCAACAUCCUAAUUCACUUCAAUUGUAUCAUAUAACUCAUUAUUGAUUUUGCUCUCUACUUCUUUUUCAAAGAUAGAUGACUGUGUACUAAUGUUACCUCUUUCACUUUCAAUCCAUCUUUGAUUUUUUUGCCCUUUUUCUCUGAUCUAAAAUCAUAUUUAUAUACAUACCAAAUAUUUGAAAAUUAUUUCAACCUCAAAUCAUUAUUACUUAUACACCAAAAAAUAUAUAAUUAAUUAAAAUAUAUAAAAUUCAAUUUAAAUAAUUAAAAAAUCCAAAAUAACAAAUUACUCAAAUCAUAGCUGCUUUUUUUUUUAAGUUAAAAAGAUGUUGUUAGUCCCUAUAUUUGUAUAUAAUCUGAGAUUAAAUCAAUGUAUUUUAAAAAUUAAAAAUUUAAUCAUCUUACUUUUUUAAUUUAAAAAUUCUAGGCUAAUCAUUAUCGUCAUUGGUAUUUUUUGUCAAAAUUUGUCAACUUAUUAUAUUUAUUUCUUUUCAAUCAUAUGUCAUAUCAUAUGAGGACAAGCUAAUCGUAAUUUCAAGUUGACAAAUUUUGAUAAAAAAAAAAAUACUUAUGAGACUAGAUUGAGAUUUUAAAUAAAAAAAAUUAGGACUUAACUUUUAACUUUUUUAAGUAUAGUGAUUAAAUCUCAAAUUUUGUCAAAGUAUAGAGACUAACAACAUAUUUUAACCUUGAAAAAAUGUCUAAAAUGCUUUUUUAAAAGGGAGAAUUAAUUUAUAGAAGAAAACUCAAACACAACAAAGCCACUAAUUAAAAGGAUAGAUUUAAACCCCAACUAUUAAGCUUACCUUAUACACCUAGUCCUAGCAUUCAACUUCAUUAGCAGUAUCUAAAUAAAAAUAGAACGUAAAUUAGCAAGAGGAGAAUCCCACUUUGUAUACAAUUUAACAAAAUUUUAAUGCAUUCUACUACUUUUCAUUUCAAUCCUUACUUUUCUUUACUCAGAUGAAGACUUAAAAAAAGAUUUUUUCAAUGACCAAAAUAAAAACGACCUAAAAAAUGGGUGACCAAAACGAAAAUAUAAAUAUGAUGUGAAUAUGAUUUAACAUGUACAGUCAACCGCCUUAAAAAUUUAUUGCUUGAUGUCAAAACAAAAACACCGUAAAAGUUUAAUAACGAAAUUACGAAAACAUAAACGCCUAAAACCAAAACAAUCCACCCAUAGCUAAGAUUGGUUUUAAAGGUGGUAGGUGAGGUCAAUCUUUUCUGGUCUUUUGGCUGCUAUGAUUUCUUCUUUAGAUUAUGUGACUUGUUGUCUUGGAUAGUCCUAUGUACAUGCCAUCAUUAUUUAAAUAACAGUUGCCCUUAUAAAAAUAGAAAUAAAAACCGAAAAAAAUAAAAUGCAAUUUUUUAUUAUUAUUAAUAAAGUGGGUAAGGGCAUGCAGUAGUAAUUGGAUAUUGGGCUGAUAAGGGGAAGCAAUAAAAAUGGGCCGAUGGUUAAAUGGGUGAAGAAGGCCCAUUAGUAUCAAAGUCUUGAGAAGAAAGAUAACUGAAAACACGAUCAAAUAUAUAACCCAGUUUCCAAGAAGAAGAAGAAGACCAAACACACCGAACAUCCAACUAGGGGGAGGCAGAGAGAAGAAACAAAGAUGAGCAGCAUAGGUACUGGCUACGAUCUCUCCGUCACCACUUUCUCUCCCGACGGCCGCGUUUUCCAGAUCGAGUACGCCGCCAAAGCCGUCGAUAACAGCGGGUCCGCCCUCCUCCUCCUCCUCCUUUCUUAUAUAUUUUUUUAGUACGUCUGAAAUCUAAUUUUGUUUUUAAAAAAUAAAUUUUCUUUUGUGCAGAACUGUGAUUGGAAUUAAAUGCAAAGAUGGGAUCGUUAUGGUAAGUAUUUUCUUCUUUUUCCUUCAUUGCUUAUUGUGACAGACAAAUACACGAACAGCAGCAAAUGUUUGGGUGUGGAGUAAAAUGGGUAUUAUUUACUUUAGGGAGUGGAGAAGCUGAUAGCAUCAAAGAUGAUGUUGCCUGGUUCUAAUCGAAGAAUCCACUCAGUCCAUCGUCAUUCCGGCAUGGUAUUCACUAUUCUUUCAGCUUUAGCUUUAAAUUAAUGGCAUCUUUACCUACAUUUUUUCAAUGUUAAAAUUUGGGCUUCUUACUCGCCUUUUCUCUUGAUAUUGAAUGCUGUAAUUCAGGCAGUUGCUGGAUUAGCAGCUGACGGUAGACAAAUUGUGGCUCGUGCUAAAUCUGAAGCUACCAAUUACCAAAGGUUUUUUUUCUUUAGUUUCAAUUCCCAAACUCCAGUUUUAACUACAUCUAAUUAUAAUUUUCAUUUUUUUCUGGUGUUGAAGUGUGUAUGGUGAACCCAUCCCUGUCAAAGAACUUGCUGAACGUGUAGCAAGUUAUGUGCAUUUAUGUACCCUUUACUGGUGGCUCCGGCCCUUUGGCUGUGGCAUAAUUCUCGGUGGUUAUGAUAGAGAUGGUCCUCAAUUAUACAUGGUUGAACCAUCUGGCAUCUCUUAUGUAAGUUUGCAUCUCCUGAUUAUUGUUUCAGUUUGUUGUUCUUUGUUUGUUGAUACUAUUACUUUGUACAUUGGUAUUAUUUCUAUUUGCUGCUAGUCAAUGAUUUAUGUCUUCUUGUUUAAGUCCUUGCUUGUUAUAAUUGAUAUAGAGAUACUUUGGUGCUGCAAUUGGGAAGGGAAAACAAGCUGCCAAAACGUAAGUAACUUAACUAUCUCUUUCGUUCUAUGGAACUUAGAGGCUGGUAUUUGAUAAAAUUAUUUUGUUAUGCUAGCUAGUUAAAUUAGAUGAAUGAUUGGCGCAUAUGUAUUCUCUAUUUCACUUUUUCCGUCUCAACAGGUGAAAGUUAAUGUUAUAUUUUGAUGUAAGGCUCAUCCAAUUGUAAAGCAUUUUGAUGGUUUUGUUUCUCUCUCACUCUCUCUUUUGUGAAAACUAAUCAGCAACGAAGAUACUCAUGGCAUUCUCUUGAAUUAUUUAGAUUCUUCCUCCAUCUUUGUGUAUCCUCGAUAUUGUGGUCUGCCUUCUCUUUCUAUGAAGUGAAAGAAAUGGAUGCAUCAUAGAAAUUGAAAUCUUCAAAGUUGAAUGCAUAUAAAAUUUGAAAACAAAAAACUCUCAAUGGAGCCUUAGUUUGAACUUGUAUUUUAGUAAAAAGAAAGUACAAAAAUGUGGACUGGAUGCAUCAUGUAGCCGAGUAGAUUAAAAGGCAAUGGACUAUGAUUCCACCUCUGCCUGCAGUUUCACUACUUCUCAUUUGCAUGAGUCAUCAAAUCAAGUUAUUAGUCUUAACAUGAAACUAUCUAAAUGAAAUGAUUUUCUCUGUUCUGUGCCUUGAGGGGCUUUAUCCUGCAAAACAUAAAUAAGUUAAAGCCUCUCUUAUGAUCUUUUCAGAACCUUUCUUACGAUCUCAACCUUUUAAAUCUUUGAUUACCUCUUUCUUUCUGUAUUCAUCUAACAAAUAGCUUAUGAGUUUGUGGUUCAAUGAAAUAUGUGGACAGAGAAAUUGAAAAGUUGAAUCUGUCUGAAAUGACAUGCAGAGAAGGGGUUAUUGAAGUAGCCAAAAUGUGAGUGUUGCCUAUCCUAAUUUCUUCCUGUUUCUGUUCUAAUGCAUUUAUUUGGGAUCGGGGCAUCAUAAUUGGUGCUUUUAAAAUUGUUUGUUCAUUUAUUUUUCAGUUUACUCUUUCUUUUUUUUCCCUUUGAGUGCAAGUUUUUAUGCUACUACUAGAUUUGACUAUGCUAGUUAUUCUCAUAAGCAGCAUCUACAAGGUACAUGAUGAAGCAAAGGAUAAGGCCUUUGAACUUGAGAUGAGUUGGGUCUGCGAUGAAUCAAAGCAACAACAUCAAAAGGUAAUUUCUUCAAAAUUCUGUAUUUUGUUUCAACAACCAGCAAUGACAAAAUUCCCGGCCUUUUCCUCUAUGCAUGUUGGUUACAUGAAUUAAAAUAUGCCAUUUUACUUUUUCAUAUACCAAGUAAGAUUAGUAAAAGUAGGGUCUUUGCUUUGCUUUUACCCAUGUAUGUUCUGCCUUUCUUGACACGGGAGUCUCCCAUUGAAUCACAUGCAAUAGAUGCAUAUAGGGUCUUUAAUUGCAUAUGUCUAGAACAACCUUAAAAUCUUUCUCGUGUUUUAUUUCAAUUGGCUCUAUCUCAUUGUUCUAGAAGGCUUUCAUGGUCAAACAAUUAUAAUAGCUGCUAGAUGCUAUACUUGUAUGCUCAAACAAUUAUAAUAGCAAGCUAGACCUUUUUGGGCAUAUGUCGUCACAUAAACGGCUUAACGAUUAGGACCAUAGGGCAGGUGCUUGCAAGAAUAAUUCAUUAUUUUCCUUGUAAUGUGGCAUUAAUGAUUAAUAUUGCUCUUUGCUCCCAUGUAAUUUAAACCUCUUAUGGAGAUCACUUAUUGCAUGUAGAUGUUUAUAUGUUUGUAUUCUUAUAAAUACAUCAUCUGAACUGUUCCUCGUUUUUUUAAGGUUCCUGAUGACCUGUUAGAGGAAGCGAAGGUUGCUGCUAGGACUGCACUAGAAGAGAUGGAUGCUGAUUAAAUUGUUAGUGAAGCCAGAAUAGUCUUUGUUAUUGAUAUUUUCAUCUUCAUGAAUCCCCAUUGUUAUGGUUUAAACUUUCCUCGUAUCAUUUUUCAUAUAAGAUCCCUGCUGACAAUUUUUUUUAGGAACAUGGAUUUCAAACGGAACAACUAUAAACUAUGCCUUUGUCACUUUUUAUUUAGGCUUCAACAGUGCAAACUAAGAAUUUACAAAAAUCUUCUCGGUUCCAAGAAUCUUGGAAUUUAUUUUGUUCGAAAUUCAUAUGAAGAAUUGGGAUGUUUGAUAAAUUUAUAGAAGGUAUAGAUUUGUUGCUUGUAGGUUCAACAAAUUUGGACAUAAGGUCUAAAUGUAUGGCAAAUAAGGUAAUUGAUUUAGCUUUAGUUCAGGUAUCAUUGUUGUUGUUGCAACAUAUAGGAAGAUGAUAUGAGUUUUAACGUGUUCACAUAUAAUGUAUUUGUUGUCUUUGGUAAUUAACGUGUUCACAUAUUAUCUAAAAACUUAAAAUUUUUAUAUGCUUUUGAGAGACAUUUGUCAUUUUUCGUAAUUUUAAAUUUCUUAAUUGAUGGUAUCUAAUAAUAACCAACAACCAACAGUAUAUUUAAUAGUAACCCACCCUUUAAAUAUUAAUAUUAGACCCAUCCCAAUAGUGGUUUGAAUGUAUCUUAUUAUUCAAGUUCUUUUUCUUAUUCAAAUUUAGGUUUUGAUGUCUAGAAUCAUUUAUAAUGUUUCUUUAGCGUAUUUGAAUUCACGUUUUCUUUCAUCAGUUAUAAUGUCAAUUCAACUGAGUUGAGACUUAAUCGGCCAAUCUAUUGAUCUAUAAAUUGUAGCUUUUUACCUAUUGUAUGUGUAUAUAAAACGUUCUUGGUGGAAAAAAAUAUGAAUGAAAGAUCCCACUGAAUUGAAUUGGAUCCAUGAAUCUAAGAAAUAAUGAGAAUUUUUUCUCUCUCAAAAUUUGAAAAUUUAGGAUUUGAAUUGUUAUUUUCUCCUAAAUUGUAUUGAUUUAUGUUAAAGAUUUCAUUUCAAUUGGAAUUUGGUUAUUGUACGAGGAUUCCCGCUAAGCAUUCAUGACAAAAUGGCUAAAGCGCUCAACUUAUAAAUAACGAAUUUGUAAGUUCAAUUUUUAUUGGAUACACACCAAUGGGACCCUCCAAUAAGUUUAUUAGAAUUGACUUUGUAUCAAAAUAAUUUCAUCAUUUAUAUAUGAAUAAUAUUUAGUACAUUGCCUAUAAAUAUGAUAUUAUUUAAAGUAAUGUUUUCAUGUAAAUUAGGAAACAAUCUUAAGUGGAGAAGUUCAUAAUGUGACAAAUAGUAGAUCUUAUUUAUUGAUAUAUCAACACUUAUAAUAUUAAAAUAAUAUUAAGACCCACUAUUAAAUAAAUAAUAUUUUUAUAUAUUUUUAGAAUUAAUUCUAUUAGGUUCUUUUCUUUUACAUUAUUCUUAUUUCCCACUUUUAAUAACUAUUUUUAUAUUUUACAGGUUUUUAAUAUUUAGUGUUAUCAUUUUAUUUUAUUCUAUUAUCCGCUUUUUGUUACUUUUGUAAAAAUUUAAAUUCCCAUAAUGAAAACCAUCCUAAUAAAAAUUUAAAAUUAAACAUAUACUAUGUUUUAAUUUCCUAAUCAUAUUAUUUAUGAAAUGUUAUAAUUUUAAAAAAGAAAUAAUUAAAAGUAAUUUAAUUAAUAUAUACAAUUAGUAUGUGUAUUGUACAAAUAAAACAAUUAGAAUUAGAUUACAACUCACUCACGAUGGAGAUGAAAAAACUUAGCUAAUAAAUUUAGGGUAAAUUAUACCAACAAUCACUUAAUUUUAAGGUAGUUGGUAAAACAGUCACUCAAGUUUCAAUUCAUCUACUCAACUUUCGAAAAAUAACAAAAUAGUCAUUAACAUUAUUAAAAAAUGAUAAAUCAAUCACUUAUUAACAUUUUUCGUUACUAUUUUAACGGACUGCUAACAUGGUAGGUUAACAGGCUGACAUGGCAAGUUAACUUGUCAUGUUGGUGAAGCAGUCAAAGGGUCAAACUUUACAUGGGUUUAGGAAAAAGUCUGAAUAUGUGGGUUGAUUUAGGGUAAGAAAACACGAAUUGGUUGUGAUUAAAGGAGGAAAAGAAAUUCAAAAAUAGGGUUUUGGGUUAGUAAUCGAUUCAAAAAUCAUUUUAGGGUUAGAAAAACUAUUCAGAAAUCGAUUAACAGGGUUAAAGACAACAAGGAAUCUGGUUUGAGAGAACACCGAUAACUCCGGAUUGAGUGACCCUGUUGCACUCCUCCAACUGCAAGCACUCAAGAGAACCAACAGACUUGGCAAAAGCCACCAAUCCAUCACCAGAAACGAAGCAACACCUGCAAAGGCACAUCUGCUUCAAGUUAGCGCAUCCCUUUCCGGUGGCUUCAAGACUCACAUCAAUUUCUCCCAGCAAGAAGCAAUUGUAAAAUAGACCAACUUUUGCAGACCCUGAGCAUUACCCAUCACCCGAAAUCCUUUCUUGCUCACAUUUUGUAGACCACUCAGCAUCAGAUUAAUCACAGGCUUGCCAUAGUGCCCAAUCAUAGCAAGAGAAAAAUCUGAUAUGCUUAAACCCUGAAGCUUAACCUUUAAAAGGAUGGAAGAUGCUGAUGACAACAGGCUUGAAACUCCAUGAUCCCCAACAAGUGGGCAAUCCUUGAUAGAGAUGGACUGCAGCUUGGGGUAAAGCUUUUCGAUAGCUUGGAGGCCCUCAUUACCAAUCUUUGGGCAAGAUUCGAUACUCAACGUAGUCAAAUUAGGGCAAUUGGCGACGAUGGCAAUUAGCCCCUUAUUUGAAACGUGGGGGCACCGGCAAAGAUCAAGCUUCUCCAACAAAUGGCAUUCUUUAUCUAUCUUGCACAAACCUUCAUCUCCACGCAGAACGUUCCACAAAGAAAGUACCUUCAGAGAAGGACAACCUUACUUCACGUGAAGAGUUGCUUCCCCUAAUAGAAAGCUUUCUCUUCUUCUCCUUCUUCUUUUUCUGUUCUUUUACUGCAUAGACCCUAAAUUGGUUAUAAAUGGGUUGUUUAAAUUGGUGUUAAGUAACCAGCUGGAUGGUUAAUGAUAACAAGGAAUCCAUCAACUGCCAUGUCAAUUUUUCGUUAUGUCUGUAACAAAAAAAUUAUUAAAAUAACUAUUUUAAUUUUUUUCAAAAGUUAAAUAACUAAAUUAAAACUUGAGUGACUGUUUUAACAACUAUCCCAAAAUUAAGUAACUAUUGGUGUAAUUUCCUCAUAAAUUUAUUAAAAAUAAUAGAAAAUUCAAAUGUGGUUUAGUUGAAAUAAUAAAAUUGUGAUAAUGAAAAUUAUGAUAUUUUGGAUUCAAAGCCAAAUAUGUGUAUGUAUUCUUUUUUAGAUUUUAUACAAAAUAUUAAAAGACAAAAAUACUUUCAAAAUAAUAUUAUUUCUUUAUAAAAAUAUUAAUUUUUUAAUAAUUUUACAACUAAGUUAUAAUAUUAUUGAUAUGUGACAUAAACUCAAUUGAAUUCUUAAAUAAUAGUAUAUAUGAACGCACAUCUAUAAUAAUCACGUUCAACUAUUUGACGAGUAGAUUAGUCUUGUGGUUAAACUACAUAGAUGGUCAUUCAACUAUCAAAAUUUUCAUUUUAAGCACCCAAAAAAGUUUACAAUUUAAGCACCUAUGUUCCGUAGUUCGAUCAUUUUGGUCACUCCCGUUAAAAUCACAAACAAAAAUUAUGCUUUUAAAUCUUGAUUUUCCACAUAAUUAAAGAAAAAUCCAUGCAGUUAUUAUUUAUUAAAAAAUUAUCAUUUUAAUCACUUAAACUUUUGUUGAAUACCCAUCUUAGAGGAAGUGCCAAAAAUGUCAUUUGAGCAUCCAGUUGGUUGGGUAGUGUAAGAGAAGUAGUUGAAGAGAAAGGAAUUUAUUGUAAUUAUAUUUUUCAUUUCCUUUUUGCGCUCAUUCGUCUUUCCUUCCCAGUUCAUUUUCUCUCUGUUGCAUUUCUCGUACACUAGAAGCUCACAAAUGCAAAUGUCCCAUUUUUUUUAGAGUUAAUGCCUUAUUUAAAUUAAAUUAAAGUUUGGGUGGUUAGAAUGAUGAUUUUUUUAAUGAUUAACAACCACAAGGAAUUUACUUUAGUUAUGUGGAAAAUCAAAAUUUAAAAGAAAAAUUUAUGUCUGAUUUUCGUUUAUGAUUUUAAUGGGAGUGACAAAAAUGAUUGAAUUAUAUAACGUGGGUGCCUAAAAAUGCAAGUUUUUUUUUAGUGCCAAAAAUGAAAAAAAAAUAGUUAGGCGACUAUAUGUGUAGUUUACCCUAGUCUUUUAAUAUACCAGUUAGUAAUCCGAUUCUUAUAUAUUUAAGUUUGACAUUCGGUAUUUAAACAAAAAACAAAAUCUUUAAGAGUUCGAAUAAAAUGUUUAAAAGUUUAAACUGCAUUAAGGUUGAAUGUCGAAAUUUAACUUGUCACAUGAAAAAAGAAUAAUUUAAUCAUUAUUGUGAUUUAAAAAUAUUGAAAAAAUUUUAUGUCACUUUAAAACACAAGUGGUUUUUAUAGUUAAAGUUAACUCUGCUUAAAAUUUAACUAUAACAUCCCUCGCUUGAUUUUAUCGUCGAGUCUGAGUUACAGGAUAUCACAUUCGUUGUCAGAGCAACAACUAUCAAUCAAACAACAUACAAAGAUUUAUACAUAUGAUCAAGUGUUAAUCAAGCUCAAAAUAUGUUAAAUAAUCAUUUUCGGGUCUUAAUCGAAUUUACAAAAGCUAAAUACCAUCUCGAGGUCAAAUUUGAACUAAACUAAAAAAUUUCAAAAUGUAAGAAGAGGAUAUCGCGAUCCCAAAGAAAAUAACAAAACAUCAAAAUAUGUCAGGUGAGUAUCGCAAAAUCUAGGGUUUGGUAUAUCGUGAUCUGAAAGAUAGUAGUCAAACUUCCCAACUUGAGGAUCAAAUUGCAAAGUUUACAAAAUAAUUCAGGGUCAAUAUAGCGAUAUCCAAAGUGUGGUAUCGCGAUACUAAAAAUAAUCCACUAAGUCUUUGUUUUCUAAAGCCUCAACUUAGCAUGCUAAUCAACAUUUGGCCCUAAGGUCCCCAAAUCAACCAUUCAACAUAAUCACUUAAAAACAUAUCUAAUCACUUACUUUUCCAUACUAAAACAAGUUAAUUACUCAUCUAACUCAAACUGAUCCGAUAUAGAUUCAAUCUAUCACAAAACAUACCAAUUCAAUACUUCAAAUUAUAUACCAUUCAUUCAACCUACUAACCAUUCAAAUACCAAAUUCCUACCUAUGCAAAUCCAUGUUCAAACAUGCUAAUUCAUUUCAUUUCACAACCUUUGCCAAACCACUUAACUAACCAUUUAACUAGGCAUUUCAAAUGCCAAAUCAUGCAUUUUCAAGCCAUAUGCAAAUGCCAACAUCUAGAUCAUAUAUAUAUACAUAUCAAGUUCAAUACCAUGGAUCAAGAUGACUUUCAAACAUCAUUUAGGCUUCAUACAUUUAAGUUUGUUCCAAAACACCUAUAUACAUGCCACAAACCCGAGGUUCAAAAUAAUUAAACAUCUACCAAAUAGGUGAUAGGAUGGUGUGAGCUUCGAGUUGAUUCAGCUUGACGAGUUUCGCAAGAUGAUCUACAAGGGAAAUGGAAAAUAAACAGGGUAAGCAUAUCGAAUGCUUAGUAAGUUCAUAGGCAUUAAACAUAAACUUACAUCAAUUUACAAUUUGAUACAACAAGCUAUUUAACUUGACAAAAUUUUUCUAAACAUAGCAAUUCACAUAUCAAUAAAGUGAGUUAACAUAUAAUGACAUCAAAUGGCAAUUGAAACAUAUAUCAAUCCAUUUCAAUACAAUUCCCAUAAUCAAAUUAACAUUUAACCAAUUGGAUAACAAACUCAACAUUCCAUUGCCAUUUUUCACUUUUCAUUAACCUUUUUAACUCGAUGAACUCAAGUCAACAAAUUCAGAUAGACAAGUAACUACACCACACCAUAUUUGUAAUUAUAUAGUAUUUUUAAAAUUUGAUAAACAAAUUUAGUAGGGCAAAAAGAAUAUGAAAUUUAAAAUUUGGGUAAAUUACAUUAGUAGUCACCUAAUUAUUAGUAGAUUUCUUUUUUGGUCAUCAACUACGAAAUGUUACAAAAUGGUCACCUAGAAAAGAAGUUUACUAAUAGUUGGGUGAUUACUAGUGUAGUUUACCCUUAAAAUUUCAUUGAAGUAGGCCCAAAGGUCCGUCCGAAAAAUAGGAGAGAUUAGACAAAAAUAUGAGACUCGAAAAAUGGGCUUGGUAAAAUUUAAGCCUUAUUCUCUAUAUGGGCUGAGAUUUUAGCAUUAUUUUUUUGGCUCGAGCUUAGCUCGGUCCGAUCAUAAUAUAUUACGUUCUAAAAAUUAAUUAUAUAUAUAUAUUAAAUAAUAACUAUAUAUUUAUAUUAAAUCACUAACCUAAUAACAAUUAAAUUAAUAACUCAAAAUCUAAAAAACUUAUCCAACUAAAUAAUUCAACUCAAAACAUUUAUCGUAUUAUUUUGUGUUUUUUAAUAUAAUAAAAUAUUUAUUAUAUUUAUGGUAAUAUAUUAUUUUUAAAAUAUAUAUAUAUUUUAAAAAAAUUAAUCUAAAAAAUAAUCAAAUAUGGGGGAAUAGACCUAAAUUUAUUUUUCUUAAAUUGAGUCAAGUUUGAAAAAAAAUAAAUCUAUUUUUAAAAUCGGACCAAACCCAAACUUCAAAAAUUAAUUUAAAUACAUUUCAUGGACUCCAUGAACACCUCUAUUUCCGACAUAUUUAAUUUAAAACUAAAAUAAUAAAAAAUCCUAAAAUUGACAUUUUGAAAAUGUUAUUUAUGUUAACAUUUUCUUAUAUUAAAAAAAAAAAGGAACAAUUUUUUACAUUUGCCGAACGUAGCCAGUACAAGAUUGUUUUUGUAGUUUAGUUUAACUUCUGCAACUCGACACCGACACCGUCACCGUCGCCUCUCUAUAUUCCGGAAAGUUUCUACUUUAACCGAUUUUUUCUCCCAGUAACUAUGGCUUCAGGUCUCUUAUUUUCUCUGUGAUUUUCUUUGAUUCUAAUUUAAAUUCUGUAAAAAAAAAAAAUCAGUUUCGCUAUUAGCGCUUGAUAAAAUUGUUUUCUUUCUUGGAUUGGACAGAUGCAGAUAUGGAGGAUUAUGGAUUCGAGUACUCCGAUGAGGAACCUGAGGAACAAGACGUUGAUAUCGAGAAUCAAUACUACAAUUCCAAAGGUUUUUUUUCUUUAUAUAUAUAUUAUUCUCUAAUCUUAAUUUUGGUAUGGAUUCGAUUAUGCUUUGUUUCAGCUUUACCAAAAAAUGUAUAAUUUCUGUUUCUUCGUAUUUUUAUAUGCUUCAAAAUAUUACUUUUAGAUUAGAGUUAGAGCUCACUUUUCGAGUAUAGUUGUGAAGGGCUGUUAGGGUUUAUCCCUGUCAAAUUGGGAAAUUAUGUAGUUAUAAUUUGCGUAGUGGCUGAAUAAUAACCUAAACUUAUUAGGCUCAUUAUGAGUUUAGCCAUUAAUCUCAUUUCCACAACUUCCUCUUGGUUACAUGAUAAUUGGUUCUUGAAUAGCAUAUUUUGCACCCUAGAGAAGCAGUGGAGGUGAGCUCAAGGGUCCUAUUCUGUCUGCAUAAAUGCUUAAAUCCUUGUUGUUGGUUGACAAUUUUAUGAUUUCCUACUUAUUGUUACUAAUAAUUUGUUUUCUUUUGUCGUAAAAGGUUUGGUAGAAACAGACCCUGAAGGAGCUCUAGCUGGUUUUGCUGAAGUGGUCAGCAUGGAACCGGAAAAGGCUGAGUGGUGAGUUCUUCAGAAAUAAUAAUUUUAUUUAUUACUUUUUGGUAUUAUGGCUAUUAUCUUGCCUUUUUACAAUUUAUGCCAACUAAUGCUUUUUUUACUUUCCUUGUGCUAAGUCUUUUUAUGAUUUAGCACUUCGUAGGUAUAUAGGGAUGAAUUCCUCUUUGAUUUUACCAAAUAGUUCCCUUAUAUAAAUAAAAGUUCUUGGGCAUCUUGCAACCUUUACAGAUUCUUGUCUUUGUUUUAUCUAUCCAUUAAAAGCAAUUAUGCCAUUCAGCAAGAAAUAUGUAUUUUAUUUGAGCUGUAUUCAUCAAUAUUAAAUAGUGUACUUGUACUUUCUAUGCAAGGGGAUUCAAAGCUCUUAAGCAGACUGUAAAGCUCUAUUACCGAUUAGGGAGGUAUAAAGAAAUGAUGGAGGCUUACAGGGAGAUGCUAACAUACAUCAAAUCAGCAGUGACACGGAAUUACAGUGAGAAAUGUAUAAAUAAUAUUAUGGACUUUGUGUCUGGGUCAGCUAGUCAAAAUUUUGGGCUCCUGCAAGAAUUCUAUCAGACCACUCUAAAGGCCCUUGAAGAGGCAAAGAAUGAGGUUAGAAAACUAUCAAAUGUACAAUACCAUCACUUCAGCAUUUGCAUAAACAUGUGAUGUAUUGCUCUUGUCAUGCAGAGACUUUGGUUUAAGACAAAUCUUAAGCUAUGCAAGAUCUGGUUUGAUAUGGGUGAGUAUGGGCGAAUGAGCAAGGUAUCUUUUCCAAACCUUGUUAUUUCAUUUACACAGGAUAUAGAACCAUAGAAAUAAUCAUUUAAUGUGUUGCACUAUCAGAUUUUGAAGGAACUUCAUAAAUCUUGUCAAAAGGAAGAUGGAACAGACGAUCAAAAGAAGGGAAGUCAGCUUCUGGAAGUAUAUGCAAUUGAAAUUCAAAUGUAUACCGAGACAAAGAACAACAAAAAGCUCAAGGUAAUUUAACUUCCUUUUUAAGAUACAAUGUAUAAAUCUACAACCGGCCAAGCAGUUGUUACCUCUCUUUGUGAGGAUUGAGGUCUAAGGUCUUCUCUGCUAGGUUUUCUCUAUUUGUACCUAAAAAGUCAAAAUCUGACAGUAAGUAUUUUAAAUCGAGCUGGUAAGAUAAAGAACUCUUUAUUGAUGAGGAAGAAAUGAUUCUAUGAUUCUAUUACAUGUCAAAUAUGAUUACUUACAAGUGGCAAUUCAGGAGGGGCACAUAAGCAGUCGUAAUUCUCUUGUAAAGGUCUAUUACUGAAAGCUAGUUUAUAUUGUUUCUGCUGUCACCAUUUAUCUACCAUUUAAUAAAAAUACAUGGUAGAAUAUGUACCCAAUUUUCUGCUUUGCGGAUAUCAAGUAUGCUUCCUUCUGGAAUUCAAGUGAAGCAAUGUUAAACUAAGAUAUGAAAUAUGUAGAACUUUAGGCGUGAAAGUUCACCUGUGUCUUGAUUUUGCUAUUUUUUUAGAAUUCUAGCAACUCUCAAAUUUAAACUACUAAAGUAUAUUCACUUGUAGUCUGGAUUGGUUAUCUGGAUCCUGGUCAAUGACAUUGUUUACAUUAGCAUGAAGCACUAUUAGUUAAUCCUUAAUACUGAAAUCGAGAAGUUUUCACUGUUGUUUAGUCUCAAUUGCAUGUGGUCGCUACUUCUCUUCCUGACUGAUAAUUGUAACUUUGUUCUAUUUUAUAUUAUAGCUGAAAAACCAACCUUGGUUCUGUCUGAUAAUUGUUUUACAAAGUUAUACAGUUAUGUCCUGGUUUGGUCUUUAUAUAAUGGUUUAGCUGUGACUGAGAUAUUGGUUUUAAUGCAGCAAUUAUACCAGAAAGCACUUGCUGUCAAGUCUGCAAUACCACAUCCUAGGAUCAUGGGAAUAAUUCGUGAAUGUGGUGGCAAGAUGCAUAUGGCUGAGCGUCAAUGGGCUGAGGCAGCCACAGAUUUCUUUGAAGCUUUCAAGAACUAUGAUGAAGCUGGAAAUCAGAGACGUAUACAAUGCCUAAAGUAUGAUUAUUGUCUAAUGUAAUUUUUCACAUUUUCUGUUUGAUGCACGAUCCUCCUUUCUCUUUCACUGGUAGCAUAAUAUUUGACAUGGGAGCUGAAGCUCUUUUAGCCUACUGGUUUAAUCCCAUUAUAGCACUAGGGUGAUCACCCGUAACAAAUGUUUAAAAUGGAUUGCAUUUCUCUGAACAUGUUUGAGGGGGUACUUUGAGGCAAAAGGUUCUUUCAUCAAAAGUGACAUAAGCAAUAAAUAAUUGCUACUAAAGGCAUAAAGUUUGAGGACAGAUUGUAAUAUGGAGGAAAAUGAAGAAAAUCCCAGUCAGUGAGAUCUAGGGGAGGAAAAAAAAGAGAGACAAAGUAGGGAUAAAUUUGGUUGGAAAAGAAGAACACUAUCCUAGAGUAGAGAUAUUGCAAAUAUU
rnacentral:lncRNA from 1 species